rnacentral:lncRNA from 1 species
GCAUUCAUUUCCUCUCUAUCCAUUAUGCUUUAUUACCGAAUCACUAUCCCAAAUUAUAGAUAACCAUUUCUUUCAACAAUUCAACAAGUUGAAAUAAGAAGACAAAUAUAGUUUUUCUUUUCUAAUAAAAGGACAAAUAUUAGUAGAUAGAGUAUUUCCAUUUAGCACCACACGGUUCAUAAAACAAAUAUUCAUAAAUAUUCUUAUCAUUAAAUCUUCCAAACAACAUAUUACAAACUCAGAAUCAAACAACCAACUAGAAGCACCCAUAAUAAUAAUAACAAUGGUUCCACACAAGUAAUCAAACAAACAAACAAGGAAGAAAAAAAACACCACACCACGCCGACAGCAACAAAAGUCUCACAUCCCCUACGGAAAAAACACCGAAAGUUACGUCCCGUGAAAACGUGAAACAAAAGCCAACCACCAACCGCCACGUGUACAGGACUUUAUUUUAUUCUAAUCCACUCACCUAAACACGUGAUCGGGUCUUAAUUUUAUUUUAACCUUUUUUUAUAUUGCGAGAACCAAACCGGGUACGGAUUUACCGACCCGAUCAGAAACGCUACUCUCCCAGACGCAAGGGAAGCGGCCGGAAUCGAACGUCGCCGGGAGAAUCUCCUCGGAGUCUUUCUCGGCGAAGCGAGUGACGGUGAGGGAAGUGUUGAAAUACUCCCUAACUUGGGUGAUUAUCCCAUCCGCUACGGUCAGCGCGUGAACCCAGGAAAUGGCGCGUGAAGUAUCGCAGCCUUCGACGAUGAUGGUGGAACCGAAAGAGACGAGUGACUGUGGAACGAAACGGAAGGUAUCGACGGCGGUGGAAUCGCCGGUGAGCAUGCGCAUCAAAAACUGAUGAGAGGGUGGACCGUGAAACCACCACUCAAGAUCAGAAGCGAGAAUCUUGACCACGGUGUCGGAAUCUCGAGAGUUUAAGGCUUCAUAUAGUGUGAGAACCAGCUUUUGAUGGCUGGAAUCAGCUUCUUCGCCACUUUCUUGAAAGUUAGCCAGUUCGAGAAAAAAAUGUUCUUCUAGAAAUUUCGAUUUAGGGAGAUGGAAAUGGAAUGUUGAGAAAUGGAUUUUUUUUUUUUUGUGAUGUUGUUGCUUUGUUGAGACUUGUGGUUGAACCUGUGAGGGUUUUUAUAUGGAAACUUUUGUGAUCCUAUGCGGGUGGUUGUAGGUGGAACUUUUGUAGGUGAUGACGUGGCAAUUUUUGAUUGGGUGUUUGGUGUAGAAAAGAACUUUUUGGAGUUCGAUGUGAUACGCGUUAGUAAGGAUGUUAUACCAUAGCUGGAAGACGAAAGCGAUGACAAACAAUAGAAGCAACUUUUCUGACAUUUCAACACUUAUUACUUGACUACUUCCAUGUUUGGUACUCCCUUUCUUUCAAAAUCUCAUUAGAAUUAGGAUUAUUAUAAGUUUCAAAUUUUAAAAAUUUAUCCAUAAAUAUGAACUUGCAUAUGCAAGGUAUUAGUUGUAUUAAUUUUAGUUUUCCGAUUUCUUUUAAUUUUUUUUAAUUAUGAAUAAUAUUAUAAUAUUAAUAAAGUAUUUAUUUUUAAAUCUUGGUAUUUGGUUUUUUUUAACGACUAAUUUAAAAAAAUUAAUCUAAGUAUAGAAAUUACUUUUACCUUGCCUUGUCGGGUAGAUAACUAAUUUAAGAUGACAAAUUCUAUCACAUAACUAGUCUGUUUUGCAAGAGACUAAGGGCCCUUUUGAUAUGGUAUUGGAAAACUGUUUUUUAGUUUUUAAAAAUUAAAAAUUAUAAAAUUUGUUUGGUAGUCUAAUUUUAUAAAACUAUUUUUCAAAACUAUUUUCUAUUUGUGGGUUUUUAAAACUAAAAAUCUAAAAUAGAUUUUAGAGGUUUUGAUUUUUUGGUUUUUAAUUUUGGAAAUUAGGAAGACGACAAAACAAGGAAAACUGGUACUAUAUUCAUCAAUGACAAAUUUGUAACAUUGUUCAACUUUAAAACAAUUUUUAAAAAUUAGAUUAUCAAACAUGUUUUUUCUUCAAAACUGGUUUUUUAAAAUUAAUUUUUAAAAUAGUUUUUAAAAACUAAAAAAUAAAACUCAUUGGGCCCUAACUAUUUGCACCUAGUCUAUCUUAUAGAUGAUUAAUUCAAAAAAAUCAUAUGAAUUCGAAAUACAGUGGAAUUCGAAUAUGAGACCUUGAGUGGACACACUUUCUGUUGAAUAGUAAUUCAUAUUCAAGUUGUAAUUAGUUUGAAUUUAGAUUUCAUUUAAGUUUAAUUUGGUUGACAUUUGUAUUUGAGGUUGCGUAUAUAAUGAGAAGUUGCUAUUUAGUUUCAGUAUCGUAAUCUACUUUUAAUAUAUAAAAGUUAAUUAUCACCAUAAUUACUUAAUUACCCUAAUUACAAUCCAUAAUACAGCUAAUUUCAUGUUCCUAUAAGUAAUUUCAUACUAAACUCUAUUUAAUACUCUAACUAACUCUACCAUUUUACAAUUUAAUAAAUUUGCCUCGACAACAUAAAAAUUGAUUCAACUAUAUAUUAUAUAAAAUAUAAUUAAAAAAUUGAUUCAAAUAUAUCAAAAUACAUUAAAAGAGAGUUUUUCANAAAAGUUAAUUAUCACCGCAUACAUUACUUACAUUACCCUAAUUACAAAUCCAUAAUACAGCAAGUAAUUUCAUACUAAACUCUAUUUAAUACUCUAACUAACUCUACCAUUUUACAAUUUAAUAAAUUUGCCUCGACAACAUAAAAAUUGAUUCAACUAUAUAUUAUAUAAAAUAUAAUUAAAAAAUUAAUUCAAAUAUAUCAAAAUACAUUAAAAGAGAAACGCAUUUGUUUCAACUAGAAUGUUACACGCAUUUGUUUUUAAAAUUUAAUAAGAAUAAAAAAAUAGAAACGCAAAAUUAUUUAACCAAGAAAGUUUAUUAUUUAAAAAUAACAUAUUUUUAUUUAUAUUUAGAACAUAAAUAUAGUUGUUUCAUAUAUACAAAUAUUUGGAUGAAUAGUAUAUUUUUUCGUAUCUAAAUAUUAAUUUUGUUUUGAUAUUUUUUAUAAAAAUAUUUAUAAUAUCAUUUAGUUUUAUAAAUAUCAACUAAUAACAUAGUAUUCGUAAAUAUUAUUUUAAUUAUAUAAAUAAAUAUUAGUAACAUAAAUAAAUAUAUUUUUCCCGUAUUUGGAUUCAUCCAUUAUUUUAAAUAUGUUUACUUUUAUUUUCUUUAAUGUGAUAAAAAAUAUAAUAACCCAUGAAUUCGCAUGAAUUCUGAUAUGGAUACCUGUACGUUCGUAGGGUACUAAUGUGUUACACACAUUUAUUUCUAAAAUGUAAUAAGAAUACUAAAAGAAAAAUUAUUUCACCAAUAAAAUUUAUUAUUUUUAAAAGAAAAACAAUUUUGUUUUUAAUAUUUGAAAUAUAAAUAUAGUUUUUCCAUAUAUACAAAUAUUUGAAUCAACAGUGUAUAAAUAUUAAUUUUGUUUUGACAUUUUUUAUAGAAAUAUUUAUUCAAUCAUUUAGUUUUAUAAAUAUCAACGAAUAACAUAGUAUUUGUAAAUAUUAUUUUAAUUGUAUAAACAAAUAUUACUAACAUAAAUGAAUAUAUUUUGUCCGUGUUUGAAUUUAUAUAUUAUUUUAAAUAUAUUUACUUUUAUUUUUUUAAUUGUACAAAAAUUGUAAUAAUUGUACAAAAGUUUAUUAAAUUGUAAAAUGGUAGAGUUAGUUAGAGUAUUAAAUAGAGUUUAGUACGAAAUUACUUAUAGGAACAUGAAAUUAACUGUAUUAUGGAUUGUAAUUAGGGUAAUUAAGUAAUUAUGGUUGAACCGGAUAUAAAUAAAAAAGAUUAAAUGACAAAAUGAAUUUUUUUAAUAAUAAAUAUACUGAUUUUUUAAGUGGUUUUUCUGAGAUGUCAAACCGAGAAUAUGAAAAGAGUGAGAAGUAAUAUGAAACGGUUUGAUGAAAAUUAGGGUUUUAUUUAAUUGAAUAAAUUGAUAUUAUUAUUAUUAUUAUUAUUAUUAAUAUUAUUAUUUAUUAAUAUUUAUUAUCAUCAUUAUUAAUCUCAUUUACCCACUUAAUAACUCAAAAUAUUCCAAAACCACUAUUCCAAAACCACGGACAAUAUUAUACCAUUUUAAAUGUAAUGGAUACAGAUAUGCAACUUCCAAUACACGUGUUCAACCCUAAAAAAUAGUAUAUCCACACCUUUCACUUCAAUAUUUUUUGCUUAUAUUUGAAACAAAUUUUCCCAAAAGUAAUCAUCAUUAAUGCUCUACUUUAACAUCACAUCAAACCUAUAUCUAUCAUAUUUUUCAAUAAAGAUAGAAACCAAAUUUGAAUAAUAUAAUAUUAAUUUUAGUGAAAUCUAACAAAUUUAUUUCAUUCCCCUAUAAGAUUAUUAAAAUACAAUUUUAAAUUAAUUCCAGGUACAAUAUUCUGUUUGGAUUCAUAUAUUUUUUUAAAAAAAAAAUCAUUAUGUAAUUGUAAUUUUUAUAAAUUCAUUCUGUACAUUGACAAUAUUUUUUCUUAAUACUGUUUUUUUCUUACAUUGACAAUAUUUUUUCUUACCUAUUUAUACUACUAAAAAAUAUUACCGUUAUUUUAUUGUUAUUGCAAUCUUAUCAUUCCAAAACGAAANGACGCGGCAAUGACUCAACAGCUUUGAGGAUACCACUAUCAGAACUUUCGCCAAACAUACUAAAUGACGGUCGUGGUAUAGCCAACGUUGAAGUAAGUCGUCAACUUCAUUCGUCCUUAAAGACUAAACCAAGUACCAAUAAUAAUAUCAGAUCAAAAAGGAUAUCAAGCAGAAACAUUACCAAAUUAGGAGUUAACUUAUCUAAGAGGUUUGACAAUACAUUUGCUGCAAAAACAUCAAACCAAGUUCCAACACCAGAAUUGCAACUCAAUGAGCUUUUUGCAUCUGAUAGUGGAGACGAUAAUAUGAAUGAUGAAUCUGACGGUAUAUUCUUAAUUAUUUUUCAUUUGAGUUAAUUUGUUUAUGAUAUGUCAUAUAAUAUUACAAUAUUCUUAACACAAUAAAUGUUAUGUCAAAAGGUUACAGUUCAGCAACAAAUUCAAGUUUUGAUGAAGAUGAAAUGUCUAAUGGAACAGAUGCUAUGGAAACUUUUGAAAUUACAUCAGGUAUUUUAAAAUGAUUUACUAUANGUCCAUCGAUUAUAGCACUGAUUCACAUCCUACACAAAACAAUAAAAUACUGAAUAGACAAUAAAGUGGAAUUCAAGAAUAUGAGAAGCUUGACGCGGAACAAUUUCGUUGAACCUAGUAAUUAAUAUUAAGUUGUAAUUAGUUUGAAUUUAGAUUAUUUAAGUUUAAUUUUUGGUUGAAUUUGCUAUUGAGGUUGACGUAUAUAAUGAGAAGUUGAUAUUUAGUUUAGUAAUAAGUAAUACUAAUUUCCUUCACAUAUAUAAAAGUUAACUUAUAAAAAUAAUUCACACUUAACUUCCAUAACUAACAUACUAAUACAAGAUAAUCCUCCCUCAAUGUUAAUCACAUACCCACGUCAAUCUCUAUCCAAAUAAAUACUUUUAAUAAUAUAGAUAACUAAAAUUUAUCACAAAUUUACUCACAACAUUGCACCUAGACACAAUAAAAACUUGACUUAACACAUACUAAUUAUCAUAAAAAUACCUAAUUAAAAUUACAUAAAUAAUAUAACCACAAUUAAAGCAGAAAAGAUUUCGUUUAAAAUCACGAACUGUAAACCCACGAUCCCCCUCUCGUUUUUAAAAAACUCUUAAAUAAAGAAUACAAAAAAUCAGAACACGCACAACACACUUCAUCUCUAAAACACGAAAUUUAUCUAAUUUAAACAAUCACACAUAACUUUUAUUCUACUAUUCUACGAAAACUCCAACUCUAUCACGUUCCGUCUAAUAUCACUCAACCCACACAACCUAUUCUGCCGACCCUGGAAUAGCUCAUAUUUUUUUAUAUACUAACAUACUUCAAUUUUCGUUUUGAAUAAUUAUCUUCUAUAAAAAUAUUAUAAUACUAAUUUAGUCUCCUUUACUACAAUAAUAAAUCUAACUAAUCAGUAUUGUAAAUCAUUAUUCUUAAUUUAUACUAAAUACCAAUACCCUUAGUAAAACAUAAACUAAAUCAUAUUUUUACACGUAUUGCGCAUAUAUAUUCCUUUUAAAUAAUGUUUUAAUUUUAUUUAAUUUAAUGUGAAAUAAAAAAAUAUAAUAAAUGAAUUAGAUGAUUAUGAUAUGGAUAAAUUGUUAAAGUUAGUAGGGAAAAUGUGUUAAUUAUUAUAAAAUGAUAAGAAUAAUAAAAGAAAAAAUUAUUUAAAAUAAAAUUCUAUUAUUUUAAAAGAAAAAAAUUUUGUUUUUAUAUUUGAAAUAAUAAAUAUAGUUUCUUAUAAUAAAAAUACUUGAAUAAAAACAGUGUAAUAAAAUAUAAUUUUGUUUUGAAUUUUUUAUUUUAGAAAUAUUUAUUAAUAUUUAGUUUUACUAAAAUAAGAAUAAAUAGUAUUUGUAAAAUAUUAUUUUUAAUUGUAUAAAAAAUAUAAUAAAUAAAUGAAUAUAUUUUGUACGUCGUUUGAAUUUAAUAUAUUUUAAUAUAUUUAAUUUUAUUUUUUAAUUGUAGAAAAAUCUGUAAUAAUUGUAAAAGUUUACUUAAAUUGUAAAAUGGUAAGAGUUUAGUUUAGAGUAUAAAUAGAGUUUAGUAAGAAAAUUAAUUAUAGCAAAUGAAAUUUAAAAUGUAUUAUGGAUUGGUAAUUAAGGGUAAUUAAGUAAUAUGGUUGAAAGGAUAUAAAUAACAAAAGAUUAAACUGAAAAAUGAAUUUUUUUAAUAAUAAAUAUAAUCGAUUUCUUUAAGCUGGCUUCUUAUGAGAAUGUAAACGAGCAAUAUGAAAAGAGUUGAGAAGGUACACUAUGAAAAGGUUUGAUGAAAAUUAGGGUCUUUACUUUAAUCUGACAAUCACACAUUGCAUCACUUUAUUAUUAUCCAUCUACACUACACUUAUCAUAUUAUUUAUUAAUAUUAUUCAUAAUAUUUACAUUCACCAUACACUCUUAUUAACAACUUAAUAAAUAAAAAUAUCCGCAAAAAAUAUAAAUAAAUAAAUAGGACCGCCAAAUCCCUCAAUUUAAUAUCUCAUAUUAUAUUAUAAAUGUUAAUGAGAUCAAGAUAUGAUAUAUUUAAUAAGUGUUCAUUCAAAAAUCAUUGAUAGUAUAAUCAUUGAAUAUCUUUAAUUCAAAUAUUAUUUGAUUUAUUUAAUUAUGAUAAUAAUAAUUUAUAAAAGUAAAUAUUAAUGAUUUAAUAAUAUAUUAAUUAAAUGAAUAAUAAUAUAUAUACAUAAUUAAUUUUAUAUAUAAAAGAUAGAAUACAUAUAAAUUUAUGGAAUAAUAAAUAUAUAUAUUAGUAAUAUUAGUGAAUAUAAAUGUUAUUAAUUAUAAUAAGAUCAUAUUAAAAUAAAAUAAAUUAAUUCCAGGUACAAUAUUCUGUUUGGAUUAUAUAUUUUUUAAAAAAAAAACUCAUUAUGUUAAUUGUAAUUUUAUAAAUUAUCUGUAAUUGAAAUAUUUUUUCUUAAUACUGUUUUUUUCUUACAUUGACAAUAUUUUUUUUAUAUUUAUACUAUAAAAAAAUAUUACGUUAUUUUUAAUUUUUAUUCUGAAUCUUAUAUUCAAAACGCAAUCAAUAUCUGAAAUCAAAUUAAUUAUUAAUUGUAGUUUUUUUGCCAAAAUAUUAUACGUUUGAUUGAUUUUAUCUUUAAUGACAAAAUGGAAUUUUUUUUAAUAAAAAUAUUACGAGUUACUUUUAUUGUUUUGACAAUACUUAUACAUUAUAAAAAUGAAAAAAUCAAAUACUGAAAUAACCAAUUAAAUCUUAUUAUUCGUAUUUUUUUGUGAAAUAUUAUACGUUGUUUAAUUUUACUUUUUAAAUGAAAAAUUGAACUUUUUUAAUAGAUAAAUAUGAACCAUUAAAUUGUAAGGAGCAGUGUGUUCAUCUUUAUGGACAUUGCAAAUGAGAGAACGUUGGAAACUCUCAAUAUAACCAAUGAUUAUGCAACAGGCAUAACGUAACAUGUGUAGGAAUUGGACAUAUAGAUAAAUGGAUUAAGAAAUCACUUUAGUUUAUAGGAUAUAUUAAAUACAUAGGUGAUGAAAAAAUUUUCAAUUUCCUAUCUACAAAAUACAUGUUACGUAUGCAAUUAUUUUGGAGGGAAAAGACGAAAUUUUAGUAAAUAUAUACUAUAAUAUAUAUAUAUAUAAUAUAUAUAUAUAUAUAUAUAUAUAUAUAAUAUAUUAUAUAUACUAUAUAUAUAUAUAUAAUAUAUAUAUAUAUAAUAUAAUAUAUAAAUGAAGAUCCAUUCUUCACUGUAAACUUAUCAUAUUAUAUAUUAGCAAUUUAAGUAUUUUUCAAAUUCAAAAGAAAUGAAUUAUACAUGUUGAAUGAGACAAAGAGUGUAAGAAAACUUUAUUUCAAAUAAAGAUGGAAAUGUCUAAGUUAUGUUUUUAAUAGCGUGAACCUUUGAUAUUUUUAUUAUUAAUAAAAUUAUAUAUAUUGUUGUUUAUUUAUAAUGAUGAAGAUUAUAAUAUAUGUUAUAUAUGUGUAAUUUUUAUCAGAGUAUGAUCAAAGUAUGAUAUUUGAUUAUAGAGAUGAGUGAGUACUAUAAUAGAAAAUAUUCAAAAUGGUAGAUGAAGAAAUUAUAUUUUUAAAACUGUUUUGAGGAAAGGAAGAUGUGCAAAAGAAGAAUUUAUAGAAAGAGUUAUUGAUGACGAAGAAAUAUAAGAGGUUGAAAACUGUUAAAAAGAAAAAGGUACAUUUGAUAAAAGACAGCGGCAAUGACUAACAGCAUUUGAGAUACACUAUCAAGAACAUCUUGGCAAACAUACUAAAUGAGAGUCGUGUAAUAGCAAGUUGAAGUAACGUAUGUAACUUAUUCGUCUAAAGACAAACAAGUCAAGAUAAUAAUAUCAGAUCAAAAAGGAUAAAUCAAGCCGAGAAAUUACCAAACUUAGGAGUUAUAACUUAUUAAGAGGUUGAAAUACAUUGCUGGCAAAAAACAUCAAAAGUUAACAAGCAGAAUUGAAAAAUAAGAUUUUUGCAUUGAUAGUGGAGAAGAUAAUAUGAAUGGAGAAUUACUGAAGGUAUAUUACUUAAUAUUUUUUCAUUUGAGUUAACUUUGUUUAUGAUAUGUCAAGUAAAUAUUACAUAUUCUAAACAUAAAUGUUAUGUCAAAAAGGUUAAGUUACAACAAUUCAAGUUUUGAUGAAGAUGAAAGUCAUAAUGGAAAAGAUGUAUGGAAGUGGAAAUUGAACAUCAAGGUAAUUUAAAAUGAUCUUACUAUAAAUAAUAUUUAUUAUUAUGAAUACAACAUAUUAAAUAGUGACUUAAAUAAUAUUGAUGAUGGCCGCACAAGGUUCUCCGCAUGCGCCCCCCCCACUCGCCCAGAGGUUUAUGAUAUAGGGGGAUACUGUCCAUUGAUGUAAAUAUUGUGGUGCAAAUAACGUGGGCUUUCAGAAGGAAAACAAUGUCGUCAAUGCCGUCAUAUCCUAAAUUUUCCAUGUGCUUGUGGAUCAAGGAAAAGGUCAAGUUAGACUUUGUUAUAAAACCCAUUACCUAAAGUUCUACAACCAUAUGUCUGUUUGACAACGAGUACAUGUGACAUCAAAAAUUUAACAUAAAAUCGAAUGUACAGUUAUGUUUUGAUUACAUAUACGGUGGAAAGUGGACAACAUACGAUUUCAAAACGGUAGAUGCACCCUACCAAUUUUUAUCGUAUCAAGGUAAUCAUGUACACGAAUAGGAAGAAUGUUACCGAUGCACAGGUCAAAAUACAAAGUUGCACAACUAUAAUGUUUAUGAUCACACGAGAAACUGAAAUUGAAAAACAGAAUGACUGGAUUACAGGUUAGAUACCUAUAUUAUUCUUCCAAAUUAAAUUAAUUAUCUUAAAAUUAUAUAAAUAGUUCGAAAACAUCGUUUACAUCACUUAUUUCAUAUACGGUUAUCAAAAGGGAGUUGUAUGCUCAUAAUAUUGUGAGAAACUUCCUGAAGUAUUUGACAAAAAUAUUCAUGCACAACAUUAUAUGGCAUGGGCAAAUAAAAUCUAGUACUUUGGGAACGGUGUUGAUCUAGAUUCUAACAAAACCAUCAUCGUUAUUGUAGAUAUGGGCGGAAACGUAACUUAAUGAAAGACAGAUGUGAUUAACUCGGCAAUCCCUGCGAACUAUCAACAUAAAACCAACCAACUGUCAUCCGACAGUAGCUCUUUAAUUGAUUGGAAUGUCGACACUGCAGAAAAAAGAGAACAUUAUACGUGCAACAAACAAUGUGGCGAACUUCAAAGGAUAGAUGAGUAUCAUACCAAGUUAUUUAGGAUAUCAGUACCAUUUAUUGAAUUUCCCGCCAUAUGGUGAGGAUGGAUAUAGACCCUAAUGUGAGGCACCGUGAUAAAGGGACAAAUAUUCGCCACUUCAAGACAACACAGUCAAAACGAACAAUAAAGAUAUCCUUGGGAGAAGCACAAAGCGAAAUCGACUUACAAUCAAGAGAGUGGUUGGCCUUUAGAAUUCAAUCAAAUUAAUGAAGCCACAAACAUUUGCGAUCAGGAGACUUUAUCACAAUUUUUGUAAAUAUACGAAGAGCGGAGUUACAAUCCGCCGAACAAUUGCAAUACAAUAAUUUGUUCUUAAAUCUUACAGGUAAAUAUGUAAAUGUUUGUAAGUUUUUGUCAUAAUUUUAAUAAAGUUACACUUUAAAGUAUAUUUAUCUUACAAUUUUUUAAUGUAUAAUUAAUUAUUCACUGCAUGUUGCUAUGUAUUUUUUUUAAAUUAGAUGAGCAAAGAGGUGUAUUCAAGCGAAUAAUGGAAGCAGUAAACAAUCAACAGGAGGCAUAUUUUUUUGUAUGGAUAUGGUGGCACAGGAAAACCUACAUGUGGAGAACUCUAGCUCUCUACAUAAGAUCAAAGAAACAAAUUUGUUAUAACUGUUGCUUCAUCGGGACAUAGCUUCACUACUACUUCUAAGGUCGAACGACUCAUUCAAUUUCAAGAUUCCAAUACCUACAAUGGAGUCUUCUACAUGUAAUAUCAACAAAAGGUCGUGACUGCCAGAGCUACUAAAAUGGCAAAGUUGAUAAUUUGGGAUGAAGCCAAUGUCACACAGAUUUGUUUUGAAGCGUUUUGAUAAAACCCUUAAGACAUAAUGGAGCGUUCCAAUUGUUUCUGACAAAUUUUAGAGGGAAAGUAAUUGUAUUUUGGUGGAGAUUUUCGGCCAAUAUACAGUUGUACCAAGGGCAGCCAUUCAGAUAUAAUACAUCUACAAUCAAAAUUCAUCAUACAUCUGGGAUCAUUGUGUGUUCUGAAGCUUACAAAAGAACAUGCGACUCCAACAAGCCGGCAAUACUUCAAGUACAUCUGAAUUAGAAUGUUUUGUAAUUGGAUAUUAAAAGUUGCGAUGGGAAAUUGAAGCAACCUACACGAUGGUUACACCGAUAUCCUAUUCCAAAUGAUUUCUUAAUUUCUAACUAUGAUGAUCCACUAGAAGCCAUGUUAGUGAAACAUAUCCGAAUUUUCUUACAAUUACAAGAAUCCAGAAUUUUUGCAAUCAAGAGCUAUAUUGAAGGAACAAUUGAAGCGGUUGACAUCAUAAAUCCAAUACGUUUUGGAUUCAUACCAGGUAUGCGUUAUCCAUUGUAAACAUAUUUAUAGAUACAUUCAUAUAUUUAUAAUGUACUAAAUAGAUUUAUAAUAUAAAUUUCAAAAAAUUUUGCCAAAGGUGAAGAAAGGAAUAUUAGUCAGAUUCUGUAGACACUUUUGACGGUGAAGGAAAUGAAGCUUUUGAUGUCUUUGACCCGGAAUUUUUGAAUACACUACAACUUCCGGUCUACCUAAACCAUAAGAUAAAUUGAAGAUGGGACCCUAUUAUGUUGCUUUGAAACAUUGAUCAACCGUGAAGGUCUCUGCAAUGGAACAAGACUUAUAGUUACAAGAUGACAACCACGUUAUCGCGGCAAAGAUUAUAUCUGGAAAGAAUAUUGGAGGGUUAUCUAUAUUCCAAGAAUGGAUAUGACUCAACACACAUCUCCGUGGCCAUUCAAAAUGACUAGAAGGCAAUUUCCAUAACUAUAUGUUAUGCUAUGACAAUUAACAAAUCUCAAGGUCAGUCAUUGGAUUAUGUUGGAUUGUAUUUGCCUAGAAGUGUAUUUAGUCAUGGUCAACUAAUAUGUUGCAAUAUCAAGGGUCAAAAGCAAAAAAGGCUUAAGAUAUUAACCAUGACAAGGAUAACCAUCCAUUGAAUUCUACAACAAACGUCGUGUUCAAAGAAGUUUUUGAAACCUUAUAGAACGUAAGUUUUCAUUAGUUAUAUUAUAUCAAAAAUGUCGUUGUUUAUUAUUAGAAUUGUAUUGAAUGAGUUCUAUAAUAUACAUUAUGUUUAACAUUGUUUAUAUGGAUGUAAUGUUUUUUACGGUAAUGAUCAUCACUUCCUAAAGGUUGCGGGCAGGUUUGUAUAAACCCAGUUUUUAAGGACCAAAAGAAUGUACGAAGUUAAAUCUUUUUUGUGUGACUUAUUUCUCACAAUUUUAACUAAAAUUGUGAACCUUUUGUUUCACAUAUCUUUUGUUGCAUUAAACCUACUGUAUCAAUUGCAAUUAAUUUCACACAUUUGGUAGUAUUCAUUACUAUAUUUUAAAACAAUGAGGUUCUGGUAUUUCUUUACAUGGUUUAUGUUUUUGGUUAAAUAAUCAUUUAUUAUGAAGGUUAAUUUGCGCUUUUAUACCUCAAUUAGUACAGAUUGGAAAAUUUCAUCCAUUACUAAAUAAUAUAUUUUUUAUUUCUAUGUCCAAAAUCUCAAUGAUAAAUGGAAUGUUUAUUCAUAACAUUAACAAUAGAAUGUUUAUUAUAUAUCAAUAUACCAUAAAAUUGUAAAAAUUUUUGUAUUAUAUUUUUUGAUUAUUUCCUUAAUAUAGUAUCAAAAAAUUAAAGCAAAUUAUAUUACUAUAAAUUAAUAAUGUUUUACUUUAUUAUGUCCCAAACUGGAAAAAGUUAUUGUGAAAUUUUUGAACCCAUUUAUUGAUCAUUUAACAUCCAUUACAUUAAAAAAACUCUUAUGCCAAUAAAUUUGUGUACGUUGAUCCAACUAUAUAUAUAUAUAUAUAUAUAUAUAAUAUAUAUAUAAUAUAUAUUAUAUAUAUAUAUAUAUAUAUAUAUAUAUAUAUAUAUAUAUAUAUAUAUAACAAAAAAUAUAUAAUUUUAUAUUUUAAUUUUUUUAAAAUAAAUUAUUGCACUUGCGCAACCCGUGCGAACGCACGGGUCCUUUACUAGUUAAUUUUCAUAUUGAGAAAACUUAGUUACAAUUCUAUAUUUUCUCUCUCUCUCUCUCUCUCUCUCUCUCUCUCUCUCUCUCUUCAUAUUCUUCAAGCUUCUUAUGCAUCAAUGUAGGUGUAACUCUAAUAAUUGAUAUUCAGGACUCCGACUCGAUUCAUAGAGAAACACGAGUGUAGUGAGGUGGGUGAUUGAUUUCGGUUCUAAAAUUCACGUUGAAUUAAAGUUCAAAAUCGAAGAGAAUCACAGAUCUUGAUUCUUAUGGUUUGGGACACAUGAGUAUUGGUGAGAACUGAGUGAUUUUCACAAGAACAAAGAUGAACGGAGGAAACAGUAGCUUAAACACUAAGCUUUCAGUAUUUGACGAAGAAAACUAGAAUCAGUGAUCGAUUCAGAUGCAUGUGUUGUUUGGAGCUCAAGAUGUUCUUGAUCUCGUCAAUGACGGUUACACGUCGGUUGCAAAAAAUGCAACAGAAGCGCAUACAUUUGCGCAACGAGAAAUGAGGAAGAAUGAUCAAAAUGAGUUAUUAUAUAUGUAUCAGUGUAUGGAUACGAAGGUGUUUGAGAAAAAUGUUGAUUCGACGACGACGAAGGCGACAUGGGAUACACUAGUGCGGUGUUUUGGUGGUGACAUAUCAGUAAAGAAGGUCAAACUUCUAUUCCUAUGUAAGCAAUAUGAUAAUCUCAGUAUGAAGAACAAUGAGAAUAUACCUGAUUACAUCUAUAGAGUAAUUAUGGUCACUAAUGAGAUGAAGUCUUGUGGAGAAGUGCUCUUUGAACAAGUAAUCAUUGAAAAGGCACUGAUAUCACUUACUCCUUGGUUUGAUUACAUAGUUGUAGCCAUAUAAAUAUAUAAAGAUACCAGCACCAUGAGAAUUGAAGAGCUUCAGAGUAGUUUAGAGGCACAAGAAUUGCGUAUGACUGAAAGAAACUAUGAACAGGAGUUAGAACAAACUCCGAAAGCUCAGACUCUAAAAGCUUCUUCUAGCAAGAAGAACCAGAUGUAAGCAUGGUUAGAGAACAAGAAGAAGCAUGGUGGUGGUGUUCAAAAGUCAAAACUCUCCAAUUCUGAUAAGAAACAUCAGAAUGUUCAAAAAGGAAAUGAGAAGUUUGACAAGAGAAAGAUUCAAUUCUAUAGUUGUAACAAGUUUGGCCAUUUUGCUGCUGAUUGUUGGCCAAACAAGGUUAGCAAGGGUGGAGAAACCAACAUAGACAUAGAAGAUUCUGAUGAUGAACCUGUGUUACUGAUGGCAUCUGCGAAUGUAGGUGGAUCAAUGGUAGAGUGGUGGUAUAUGGACAUUGGCUUCUCAAAUCACCUAACUAGAAACAAGCAAUGGCUAGUUGAUUUUGACUAUGGUAAGAGAACAAAGAUCAUAUGUGCUAAUGGUGAGUAUCUAAAUGCUAAAGGAAUGAGUAAUGUCAGGAUUAAGUUGAGCAAUUCCCAAACUGUAUUGAUCAAUGAUGUAUGGUAUGUUCCUGGCAUGAAUAGUAACCUUAUGAGUGUAGGUCAUCUAAUUGAAAAAGGUUUCUCAGUAACCAUAAAGGAUAAUCUCUUGGAGUUGUAUGACAAUAAUCAAAAGUUGAUUAUGCAGUAUGAAUUGGGAAGAAGCAGUACAUUCAAGGUGAAUGUUGCAACAACAGACACUCAAUGACUUAGUGCAAGAAGUGCAAAAGGGGAAAGUGAGUUGUGGCACAAGAGAUUAGGGCAUCUGAACUACAGAAGCUUAAGGCAUACGAGUUCAAAGAAUCUGGCUCAUGGAAUUCCUAAAAUUGUAGCACUAGCAAAAUCAUGUGAUAUAUGCAUGAGAGAAAAGCCACCAAGAUUGCCAUUCUCAUAAAAAAUGCCUCCAAUAGAAAUCCAUGCUUUGUGUGUGGUGCAUUCUGAUGUAUGUGGUCCAUUUGAGGUACCUUCACUUGGAGGUAACAAGUAUUUUGUGUCAUUUGUGGAUGAAUUCAGAAGAAUGACAUGGGUAGCACUCAUUAAGUUUAAAUGUGAGGUGUUUGAUGAGUUUCGGAAGUUCAAAGUGAAGGUUGAAAAUCAAAGUGGGAAAAGGUUGAAGAUCCUUAGAACUGAUGGUGAAGGUGAUUUCAACUCAACAGAGUUCAAGAAGUUCUGUGGGGAACAUGGUAUUGAGCAUGAUGUGGAUGCUCUAUACACUUAACAACAUAAUGGUCUUACUGAAAGGAGAAAUAAAACUCUACUUGACAUGACAAGGAGCACGCUGAAGAAGAAGAAUUUGCCUAAGCAAUCAUGGGGUGAAUCGAUUGCUACUUCAGUAUAUGUGCUUAACAAAUGUCCAACAAAGAAGUUAAAGGAAGUAGUUCUUAUUGAGAAGUGGACUUGAAGAAAGCAAAAUGUCAUCCAUUUCAAGGUAUUUGGUUCAGUAUGUUAUAAACAUAUACUAGAUGCUACUAGAAGGAAAUUAGAUGACAUAACCAAGGUCAUUUGCUUAUAGGUUACCAUAGUACAUAUGCUUAUAAGCUCUAUUGUAUAGUCACCAACAAAGUUGAAGUCGGCAGAGAUGUCAUAGUGAAAGAAUCAGAAAAAUGGGAUUAGAUCAAGUCUCAAUCCAACUCUGCUGCAGUAUCAACACUAGAGUCUGAUUCUUCCUCUGAAGGAGAUUCUGCCUCUGAAGGUAAUUUUAACUCUAAAGAAUAGUCUGAAUCUGAAGAUGACUCUAACUCUGAAAGUGAGUCUGGCUCUGAAGACGACUUUGACUCUGAUGGUGAGUCUGACUCUGAAGGUGAUCCAUCCUUUGAAGGUGGAGCUUUUGAAGGUGGUCUAGCCUCUGAAGGUAAAACUUCUGAAGGUGGUCCUGCUUCUGAAGGUUUUUAGAGACCGCAUAGAGUUAGCCAGGUACCAAAGAGACUUGUAGAUUUUGAGUUUCUGUAAGAUACUGGGAUUAAUUCUGAAUGAAAAGUCAUACAGAGUGCCAUGAUGGUGGACUAUGAACCUGUCAGUAUUAAUGAGUCUCUCAAGAAGAAGAUGGGGGUGAACACCAUGAAGAAAUAAAUGAGGCCAUUGAAAGAAACAAGACAUGGGAAUUGACUAUUCUACCUCAAAACAAGAAAUUCGUCCAUGUGAGAUGGGUUUUCAAGAUAAAACUAAAGCCAAAUGGUUCAUUUGCUAAGCAUAAAGCAAGGUUAUAAGCUAGAGGAUUACUAUAAAAGUCUGGUUUAGACUACUUUGAAGUGUUUGUACAUGUAGCCAGACAUGAAACCAUAAGGUUGGUUAUUGCUAUAACUGCAAAUAGGAAUUUUCCUCUAAUGCAUUUAGAUGUAAAUUUAUCUUUUCUAAAUGGUCAAUUGCAAGAAGAAUUUUAUGUGUUACAACCUCAUGGAUUUGUGAAAGAGAACAAAUAAGGGUUGGUGUACAAGCUGCAUAAAGCCUUGUACAGACUUAAACAAGCUCCAAUAGCUUUAAAUCUAAAGAUUGAUUCAUUUUUCAAGGAUCUUGGAUUCGAGAAGUGUGAAACGGAAUAUGGUGUGUAUGUGCAACAUACUUGUGAUGGCAAUGUGAUUCUGGUGUGUCUUUAUGUGGAUGAUAUGCUUCUAACAGGGAGUUGUACUUCUGAGAUAAACAAGUUCAAGAAGGUGCUGAUGAAUGCAUUUGAUAUGACUGGCCUUGGAAAUAUGGUAUAUUUUCUAGGGAUGGAGACUUUACGUUAUGAGAAUGGAAUUAUUAUGCACCAACUGAAGUAUGAACUUGAAUUGCUGAAGAGAUUUGAGCUGAUGAAUUGUAAGUCAGUAGUCAUACCUGUUGAGAUAAAUCAUAAUCUGGACUAUGAUUAUGAUGGAGAGGAUGUAUAUGCUACAACCUUCAAACAAUUGGUUGGUUGUCUGAGAUAUAUGUGUAACACCAGGCCUGACAUCUAUUAUGAAGUUGGAAUUGUGAGUAGGUUUAUGAGUAAACUAAAAUGAAAUUUUGUUUUCAUCUGGAGUGUUAGAUGAUACUGAGAUGAUAUAUUAUUCAAACUCUGAAUGGUGUGGAGACAGAGUUGACAAAAAAAACACUACAUGAUACUUGUGUAAUUACUUGGGAGACGCUAUUUCUUGGUGUUCCAAGAAGCAACCAAUGGUUGCAUUGCCAACUUGUGAAGUUGAAUACAUAGUUGGUGCUUUGUCAGCUUGUCAAGCUGUUUGGCUAAUGAAUUUGCUGUAGGAACUGAAAUUCAAGGUGACCAAAUCAGACAAGAUGAUGAUAGACAACAAAUCUUCCAUAAGACUUGCAAAGAACUCAAUGUUGCAUGGGAGAAGCAAACAUAUAGAAACAAAGUUCUAUUUUCUGUGCAAUCAAGUUCAAAAUGGAAUGCUUGAAGUUGUUCAUCGUAACACUUAGAAGAAACUUGCAAAUGUGAUGACCAAGACAAUCAAGACUAAACACUUCAUCAAUUUGAGGGAUGUAAUUGAUGUUGUUGACUUUAACUUGAAUAUGAAAUUAGAGAUGUUGUUGACUUUAAUUGAUGUUGUUGACUUUAACUUGAAUAUGAAACACGCACACGCAUCCGCACCCGCGCGCACACACACACACACGCACACACGCACGCGCACCCGCACACCCACACCCCUGCACCCCCUACACGCGCACACACACACACACACACACACACGCACACGCACACGUGCACCCGCACACCCACACCCCCGCACCCCCCACACAUCUUCAUCUUCAUCUUCAUCUUCUUCAAACUUCUUGUGCAUCAAUGAAAGUGUAACUCCAACACUUUUAAGACUCAAAUUUUCAUCACUAAACCAAUUUCUAAAAAUUAUUAAUAAAAUAUAUUUAUUAUUCUCUAUAAUUUUAUUUCUAAAAAGAAUUUAUUUUUUAAAUACAUUAAAUAAUCCAUAUAUUUUUAAAAUUAAUUAUUUUAAUCGAGCCAAACGCUUUAUUUUAACGUAUUAGAAUGCUAGAAUGUCUUGUUCGAUUUAUUUGGUGAUGUUACGAAUUAUUGGGAUUUAUUAGAAUUUUUGUUUAAUUAAUUUAAUUAGAAAAACAAGAAAAAUUAGACAUUAGGAGGAAAAUAACAAUUUAAAAGAAUUAGUGGGGUAAGAAGAGAAUUAACCAAAGUUGAGGGAGUUGUGGUGAUAUUUAAAUUAAAUAGAAAUAUUGGAUUUUAUUUAGUUUAAAUAGAAAAAGUGGAGAGAAGAAUAAGUUUGUGUGUGAUGUACGUAAAAAACUUAGGAAUUAGGACUUUUGGAGUGUGAAUAACAAACCUAGAGGGAGAACUCCAUUAUUGAAAAUUCAACCUUUUGCUGCAAAACUCAUAUAGUGGGGGAUUAUUCUUCAAUGGGUGUAUCUUUCUUAAAGGAUAGAAGGUAUCCUAACCCUCUUCCUCCAUUUUUGAAGCUUUUAAUCCAUGAAAUGGUUGUACAUACCUCUUUGUAUUAACAUGUUUCGAUUUUGUUUUAUGUUGUAAUUACAUAUUGAAAUUCGUAUGCAAUUGUAUGAGCAAAAUUGAAUUGGUGUUGUUUAUAUUUUAUGCUUUGGUGAUGAUGAAUAUAAUGUUGAAAUUGCAUGAUAAAUUGGUGUUGAUGUGUAAUUGGUAUUGAUUUAGUGUAAUUUAUAUUUAAUAUAACAUGGGUGAUGUGUUUCUGUUCGAUUCAGGUGGUUGGGGUUGAAAUUAGAGCUUUUUAAGUGCUCCAAUGGCAGAUUUGUGGAUUCUGCAAUCUGCAAAAUAGGGACGCACGUCACCGGUGUGACAGGUUGACCGUCAUGCGUAUGGGAAAGCCGACGGGUGAUGACAUGGUGAUCGUCAUGACCCCCGAGACGGGCUUCUUGCCUAAGCGUCACCAUGGUGACGGGGUUGUGAGAAAGGGAUGGUGACGGGUGGGGCGAUGACCAUCAGCCUGGUGAUGGACUGACCGACAGUCCUUGGAGUUGACUGAUUCUGAGCGGUUGACUAGAUUUUUUGAGUAGAUUCCAAUGGCGGUGACUGUUUAAUGUUGUAAGGAUUAAACAAAUUGAAGAUUGUUUGAUGGAUUGGUUUUUUAUUUAGGUCAAAAUGGUCAUUCAACCAUUGAAUUAGGUAUGUCUUUUCGAAGAAUUGAUCCCAUCAAAUGAUAUUGGUGACCUUGGUCGAAUUUUUAAGAAGUUAGUUAAAGACCAUGGAUUUGUUAGUUUUGGACUUAGUGAGAUUCCAAGUUUUCAAUAUGAUGUUACUCUCCAUGCAGUCGAAUGAAGCAUAGGUGGAUAAGAUCAGACAUUUAUUUCAGAACACGUGGAAUCCUGUCGGGAACGAAGAUUGCAUGGAGAUGAAGACGUGGCGUAAUUCGCUGAGUUGACCGUUGUAGACGAUUAUGAUAGGACUAGUAUGUAAGUAGUGUUCACUUAUAGUUUUAGGGGUCCACAAUUUCACACAAAUUCUACAAACUCGAAGUAUCCAAGUGUUUAGUGAGAAAAUAAUGAUUUCUGAAAAUGUAUGUAUUUAUGUUCCACUUUAUGAAUUGAACUCUUUACUUUCAAGUUAUUUACUGAUUUCAAAGUUAUUUCCAAGUUUCUUUUAUUUUUGACUUUAAUGUCAAAAUUGUUUCAAAAUCAUAAUUUUUGCACAAUCUAUCCUGGUAUUUUUUUGAGUUUAUUCCCUUAAGUGAACUAAAACUUGUAUUUGUUUACCAAAUUUCCCAGUAAACAAAUUAGCACGUCCAAUGGGAUCCUUUGUGGGAAAAUUUACACUUUUUUCUUUAAAAAUUGCAUAAUUUCUUCAUUUAUGAAACUUCUCAAAUUUGUGAGUGUGCAUGAGAUUGAGGAGUGGUAGGAUAACCAAAAAAGACGUUAGAAAACCAACCAUGAGAUAUGUUAGGAGAAUGGUGGAUCCCAUAAAUAAUAACAACGGAGAACAACCGUCCAAUAACAUGGGGGAAGGCACAAUCGCUGCAAAUUUGACUGAAGCAAUUCCCUCCAUAUCCAGCACGACAGUCACACUGUCGACUGUGCAAGCAAGGGUAGUAUUCUCCCCAUCAAUAACACAGAGUCACCCUAUGACUCCUAGGCCAACUAUGGCAAGUGACUUCAGGCCUUUUACCACAAGUUUCAUAAUGCUUAUGUAUGGUCGUGAACAACCUUAUGGCAUGCUAACAUCAAUGAUGGGAGGCUUUCAUACAAAUGCUUCAACAUUUGCUAACAACACGGUGACUUCAUAUUCUCCAAUAUUGGCAUUAGGGUCGGCUAUAGGAAAUCUUGGUUGAACCAUGCAGCCCCAUUGGGUAUGGGAUUUGAUUCCCAAGCGAUGCCGACUUUCACCAUAAGUUAUGUGAGGGCGAUGAGAUAAUAAAUGGAUGAAAGUAACCAUGGGAUGGUUAACUUGCGUACCCGAAAAAUGAGUACUAUAUUUAACCCUUUGAUUCAAAAUACGAAUUAUAGUUACCAAUAAUUUGAGACUCAAAUGACUCGAAUUGCCGAUUUCUUUGGCGCCCCUCAGGCGCAGGUUCGACCAAUUGUACAACCAUAGGUGGCUAGGCCGAUACAAAACGAGGGAAUAAUUCUUGAACAAAACACAGUUAAUCAGGGCCAAAAAUUUGUGCCCCAUGUAGUCAAACAACUAAGGCCUAGGGAAGCUGGUCACUCGCUAGUUUUAGUCGUUAAUCAAAAUCAGGACGCCGACCAAGUGGUCCAUCAAGUCCGACAAGAAAAUCUGUUAGGAGAGAAUAAUCUUGCAACCAUGGUCGAAAAAAUAAUGGCGCAAAAUGGUUUGAAUUUAGGCAUGCAAAGGACAAAUUAUACAUCCCCAUUGUCGGAGUAUGUAUUACAAACAGAACUCCCAAGGGGUUGGAAAGUCCCUAAGUUCACCAAAUUUGUUGGUGAUACUAAUGAAUCUACAGUGGAACAUAUCACUUGAUAUUUGAUUGAAGCGGGGGAUAUAGCGAAUAACUAUAAUUUAAGGAUGAGAUAUUUCCCUACUUCUUUUAAAAAAAAUGUGUUUACAUGGUUUACAACGCUCCCUGCGCAUUCCAUUAAUGAUUGGACUCGUUUAGAAAGAUUGUUCCAUGAACAAUUUUUAUGGGUCCGUCUAAAAUCAGCCUGAAAGAGUUGUUAAGCAUGAAGAAAAAGUUCACUGAAUCGAUUGAUGAUUACCUAAAUAGGAUCCAACUUUGGAAAGUAGGGUUCUUUACCCAAUGUAAGACCCCAAUUUUGACCCUAAGAUCGCUCAUGCCAUCUCAUCAUAUGCAUUGGCAUUGGGAUCAUACCUUGGCAUUCUCCUUACCUUCAUUCAUUGGGUUUGCAUUGGGAGAGAUCACCAAACACAUUUGAUUGUAUCAUAAUUCAUUUUUAUUUAUUUUACUAACCAAAAUACCAAAAAUAUAUCAAUUUAUAGUUUGUUACUUUUGUAGGUAGUGUGUAUGCUCACCUAUGCUCCAUCAAGCUCAUAUCUAGGAUUUAAGACCCUCAGUGUAAGAAGCUCAAUCAAGAAAUGGUUCAUGUUGACUCUAAGUAUCAUAUAUGGAUCCCCAUGUUCUUCACAUGUUAUUUUGAUCAAGAAAUCAUCAAGAGUUUGGAGUUUGUUUGCCUUGGAAACCCUAAUUCAUCUGGGUAUCUUAUAUGACUUCUUCAACAAGUUUCUUCAACAAUUAAUCAAAUAUCUAAAAGUAUACUUCAUAGUACAUCAUAUUAUGCAUAUAUGAUCCUCCAUGAGUCCCAAAAGUCAAGAGAAUAUUAAGCUAGAAAGUUGGUUCAUGGUGGUUGACUAGAGAAAGUCAACUAGUCAAAACUAGGGUUCCUUAGACCCUAUCUCCUACAAUGUUUGUCAUAUGAAAAUGAUUCCAAGCGAAAAGUUACUCUAAAUUACAUUCCAAACAAAUUUCAUGUUAAGGUCAAGAUCUAGUUUUUCUUGGAAAGUCAUUUUGUAUGGUGAAAGAUUAUAGGUCAUUUUGUCUGAACCCUAGUUUGGAGGUCAACUUCCCAAGACCAUAACUUGCUCAUUUGUUAUGAUAUGAAAUCCAUUAAAGUUUCAUGAUAAAAUUCAAGAUGUAUACUUCAAAUUUUAUGUUUGGGUUAAGUUCAAAUUCAACUUGAAAAUGCAUGUGCCAAGAGGAAACAUUAUAGGUCAUUUUGGACCAUUACCAUUGAACAAGUGAUUUUCCUCAACUUCUAAAAUGCAUAAAUCCUUCAUUCCAAAUCCAAUUAAGGUCAAAUUUGUGACAAAUCUGAAGAGGUUUGAAAGAGAUACAACUUUGAUGAAGGAACUUUUCUCAUUUGAAGUCCAUAGAAAAAAGUUAUUUAAGGUGGAAGAAGUGAACAUUUGACUUGGGACUUAUAAAUUUUUUAAAUAUGUUUGAUUUCCCAAACUUCCACCUCAAAGUUAAUCAUGAUCCAAGCUUCAAAUAAAAAAGUGUUCAACAUAGAAGUUGUUCCCCUUGAUCUCACCUUUCUAAAGAGUCCAAUAUCAUCUCAUUUGGAUCAAAAUUGAGGGACUUACACAUGGCUUCAUUAUGGGAAGUGUGUUUGGCAAGAUUGGAUUUCAAAUGAUCAAAUUCUUUUGCAUGCUUCCACAUGAUGGAUUCAGUACAAUUUGAACACGAAUUGGAAGUGGAUUGCAUUAUUCCUAAGGCCCAAAUCAUUGGCCAUGCAUCCAUGCAAGGAGGUUUCUAAAAUUGGCCAAAUUUCAAGUGGUGCAAAUAUCAAGUGCAUUGCCUAUUUAAACAAGCUUAAGGCUUCAGAUUCAUCAUCGACACCUUACCCAAGCUUUGCUAGACCAAUUCAAACCCUCAUUGCCAUAGAAUUUCUAAAGAUUUCUCUUGAAAUCGAGCUUGAAUUUCAUCUUCUGUUUGGAAGUUCAAACUCCAGAAAUUCAAUUCCCUUUUCAUCUCAAUUGACUUCUGCAAGAGGAAGAGAAAGCAAUCAAAUCCAGAUCAAGAUCAAGUGGAAUUAGAUCAACUCGAAGGCGAUUUUUCAGAAACUUCUUCUCUUCGAUUCUCCCUCAAUUCUUCACCAUUCUUUGUGAUUUUUGGUUGCCUGAAGUCCUAUCAAUGUAGGCAAGAAGAUUGAGUUACUUUGAGGUCAAAUCGAAGCAACUCAAUUCAUGAUCCUCAAAAUUCAAAUCCCUGUAUCUUUUUAUAUACUUUGAAUUGGACAAAAUUGAGGCCAAAUUUGAGCUCCUGGGUAUUUUUUCUUUAAAUCCAUGUCUUGCUUUUUCAUUUUGGUGAUGGUUGAUGGUGGACCAGUCCGGUGAGGUCCACCGGAGAAGAAGACCGGAGCUCUGGCUCCGGUGAUGUGUUGUCAUGCAUCUCAACCAUAGGAUCCAAUUUAAAUGUUUUAAUCUCAUGUGUUGCUUUUGAUUACCAAGCUUAUACCGCGUUGACUGCAGUGCAUCAUGGAACGCGCGUUUAUCACCAUCUGAUCUGCCACCUCAAUUAAUGAGGGGGAUCAAAUGGUUCUCUCUUUUUUUUCUGAUUAUUUUAUUUAAUUUCUUAUUUUUAAUUAAUUCAUAUUAAUUUCAUUAUUGAUCCAAAAAAAUAUGGGACUUUCAUAAAAAAAAUUCAAAUAUUUCCCUCUUUCAUUUUCUGAAUUAAAAUUAUUUUUUGGAUUAAUAUUGAUAUAUUUUUUUAUGAUUUAAUUGUUUUUGUGCAUGUUUUUAAUUGUUUCAAAAUACUUAUGACUUUUCAAAAAUUAAGAUUUUUUUUUUCUAAGGUCCUUUGACCUUCAUUGACCUAGGAUAAAUCUCCUUGCCAUUUAUUUGGUGUUUUGAAGAGAUUUUAGGUUUUUGAUCAAACAUAAUUCAAUUUGAAUGCAUUUUAAUUUGAUUUUUAAUUGAUUAAUUGUGUAGAAAUUAUGUUAAGCCAUUUUUAUUGACUUGUGAAGUUUGACUAUGUGUUUGGGCCUUGGUCAAGGUUGAUUUGACUUUUGUUGGAUUAAAAUCAUUGGAUUUAGGGGAUUGAUGAAAUGUACAUUUCAUCUCAAGUUUGACUAUGUGUUUGGGCCUUGGUCAAGGUUGAUUUGACUUUUGUUGGAUUAAAAUCAUUGGAUUUAGGGGAUUGAUGAAAUGUACAUUUCAUCUCCCAAAAUGAAUGAAUGAUUUUAAUUUAACAAAAUUCCUCCCAUGACCAAUUUGUGUUUGUCUCAUUUCCCCCCCCUCUUCAUCUUCAAUCCCAUUCUAUCUAAUCCUUCUCAUUGACCAAUGAAGUCUCAAUAUCCUAAGGCUAAUUGGUUCAUCAAUAACUUUGUGUUAGAUGAACAAAUACAAGUAUGGAUGAGAUUAGGUCCAUCCUUUAAUCAUUUUCUUUUUGAGUGUGGUAUGUUUUAGAAGUAUGGUUUAUUAUACCAUAUCUCUAACAUGCAUUAGCACCUAAAUUUCCAUUGCCCGACUGUAAGACCCCAAUUUUGACCCUAAGAUCCCUCAUGUUACACUCAUCAUAUGCAUUAGCAUUGGGAUCAUACCUUGGCAUCCUCCUUACCCCUCUUCCAUUAGGUUUAUUUUGGGAGAGAUCACCAAGCACUAUGUGAUUGUAUCAUACUUGUUAUUUUAUCAUUCACUAACCAAAAUACCAAAAAUAUGUCUUUGCAUUUGUCUAACUCUUUUGUAGGUAGGGUACAUGAUCACCAUUGAUCUAUCAAGUUCACAUCUAGGGUUUAAGACCCUCAUUUCUAAAAGCUCAACCAAGAAAUGAUCCACAAUGGUUCUAGGAAUAAUAUAUGAGUCCCAAUUAUCUCUACAUGUUAUUUUGAUCAAGAAAUCUUCAAGAGUUUGGAGUUGGUUUGCCUUGGAAGCCCUAGUUUAUCUGGGUAUCUUGAUUAACUUCUUCAAUAAGCUUAAUCACCCAUUGAUCAAAUACUUCAAAGGGCACUUACAAUUUCAUAAUCUUAUGCAUAUAUGAUCUCCCAUGAGCCUAAAAAGUCAAGAGAAUUGCAAGUUAGCAAGUUGGUUGGUGGUAGUUGGCCAGAUGAAUUCAUCUGAUCAAAACUGGGUCUCCCUAGACCCUAUCUCCUACAAUUUUCAUCAUAUGAAAAUUAUUCCAAGAUAAAAGUUACUCUAAAUGACAUUCCAAACAACUUUCAUGUUGAGGUCUAGAGCUAGUUUUUCUUGGAAAGUCAUUUUUUAUGUUGAAACAUUAUAGGUCAUUUUGUCUAAACCUUAAUUUGGAGGUCAACUUCCCAAGGCCAUAACUUGCUCAAUUUUUAUGAGAUUAAAGAUUUCCAAGUUUCACAAUCAAAUUCAAGGUGUCUACUUCAACUUUGAUGUUUGGAGUGAGAGAUAAAUCAACUUUUAUGAGCAUGUGAUAUGAGGAUGCAUUAUAAGUCAUUUUAGACCAAUACCAUUGAGCAAGUGAUUUUCCUUAACUUAAAAAAUGCAUAACUCAUUCAUCCCAAAUUCAAAUGAUGUCACAUUGGUGACAAUUUUGAAGAUUUUUGAAAGAGAUACAACUUUUAUGAAGACACUUUUCUCAUUUGGAGCUCACAUAAAAAGUUAGCCAAGGUGGAAUAAUUGAACAUAUGGCUUAACACUUAGAAAAUAUUUUGACAUGUUAAAAUUUCCAAACUUCAACCUCAAAAUUCACCAUGAUACAAGUUACAAAUCGAAAAGUGUUCAACAUAAGAGUUGUUCCUCUUGAUCUAACCUUUCCAAAGAGUCCAAAUUCAUUCAUUUGGGACAAAGUUUGAGGGGUCUGCGCAUGGCUUGAACAGGGUUGUAUCAGUUGGCAAGAAUCAUGCUUCAAACAUCCAAACAUCUUUGCCUUGCAUUGCAAUCUUCAUUCAGACUUUAUUUCAUUUGAUUGUGGAUCUAAUUGAGAUGCUUCACGGGCAUGUACUUUCCCAUGCACGCGUGCCAUUCACAUUGCCAAAUUUGGAAGCAUAAUAACAUUUACCAUUUUCUAUAAAUAAAGGUCCAAUGCUUCAGUUUGAAGGGCCUUGCACGCCAACUUUGCCUCCAACCGUUGAAACCCUCACAAUUCAAAGGAAAACCUGAUAAAUUUUACUUGAAAUUUGAGUUUGAAUCUCACCUUUUGGAGAUUCAAAAACUCCAGGAUCCAAAGCUUUGCACCAUUACCAAUCUACUUCUGUAAGCUCCAUAAACAAGAUCAAGCACGAUUUGAAGCAAAAGAGAUCCAAUUCCGCACAACAUUGAAGGUAUUUUUCCAUAUCUUUCUUCUCUUCGUUUCUCUCUCAAUUCUCAUCAAUUCUCUUGGAUCUUUGGUUGUCUGAAGUCCUACCAAUGUAGGAAAAAAGAUUGAGUUGCUUUGAGGUCAAAUCGAAGCAACUCAGUUCAUACACCUCAAAAUUCAACUUCAUGUAUCUCUUAAUAUACUUGGAGUUAGGUUAAAUUGAGGUGAUAUUCGUGAUCUACUCCAUUUUUUCUUUAAGAUCAUAUCCUCUUUUUUCAUUUAUGUUAUAGCGAUGAAAGAACCAGUCCGACCAGGGUCAUCAGAGAAGAUGAUCGACACUUGGCUCUGACGAUGCGCUGGAUGUGUUCUGAGCCAUUGGAUUGAUUCAAAAUGUUUUAAUCAUGAACGUUGCUUGUGAUGACUGUAAGACCCCAAUUUUGUCCCUAAGAUCCCUCAUGGCAUCAUAUCAUAACAUUGCAUUGCCUCAAGGAUCAUUGGACACCUUGCUUCCUUCCCUGUGGGUGGGAUCUUUCUUGAGAUUAGUUCUUGAUCACCAAGAAUUGCUUGCAUUUGUGUAUCAUUGCUUUUCUUUUAAUCACUAACCAAAAAUGUACAAAAAUAUGUCAUCUAACAUUUGUCUUGCAGCUUAAGCAAUCAACAGGUCAAGGCAAUUCAAGUGAAUCCUUUGUGCAAGAGAUGAGGGUUCCAUUGAGAUAUGGAUCAUGUGAUCAUUAUUUUGAGCUUAUAUGAGCUAGAGGUUCAUUGUGAAGCAAAUUCCCCAGGUGGUUGAGGCCCAAGUUCAUCAGAACAUUUUCAGGUCAUCUAAAGGCCUAUGCCAGUCAACUGAAAGUCAAUUGUGAUUUUUUGAAUUGGGAAAUUGAAUUUCUUCAUCCCAUUCAUGUUCAAACAAGGCUUAUUCAUCAUGUCAAACCUUUAUCUUGAAGAAUUUGAAGACAGUGCAAAAGUUUCCAAAAAUGGAAAGUGACCUAUAAUUUCAAGUUUCCAAAAAUGGAAAGUUUUUGGACCAACUUCAACUCAACUUUCCAACAUCAAAGAAGCUUUAAAUGAAUUUUUGUCCAACAUGAAAGUUGAAGAUCUCUCUCUCCCAUUUCCAAAAAGUCCAAGAUCAUGAGCAUCUGAUGAAUGGUUGUGGAGAUAUGAUCAAAUCAUUGCCAAGUGUGCAUGGAACUUCAAAAGGCCAUAACUUUUGACUCAUAACUCCAAAUUUAGUGCCUCUUUUUGCAUUUUGUUUCUCAUGACAUGUAUUUUCCAAAUCAUUCAUCACAUUGCAUGAAAUUUCAUCAUAUGAUCAUUUGUUCUUUCAUGCCCAUUUUGGAGGGAAAAUGACAAAUUUGAAAUUGGUGCAUUGUAUGAACAAAAUACCCUUGCCAACAUGAGCAUGAGGUGAUUUUAAGUGAACUUGAGCUCCCAUUUGGUACUGUUCACGUAUGCAUUUGCAUGACACCUCCAAUUUCCCAAUUUUGGUCACACACCCCAUUUUCACUAAUCUCAAUUAAACCAUGCUUAAUUUUAAUUAGGAUGUGAUUAAGACUGAGUAUAUAUACCAAAUCCUAACAGAAUUUCUGGAUCUUCACCAUUUUCUAGAUCUAAAUUCUUCUUCCCUCCAAAAUUUUCUCUCAAAUUCCAAAUUCAAUUUUCUUCACAUAAGCUAGUGAUUUUCUUGCACAUUCUUGUUCUCUGAUCUUCAUUAGUGCAGAUCAAGCUUUGGUUUGAAGGAUUCGAGUGGAAAUCAAGCAUACUCCAAGCAAGAACAUGAAGAUGGAAACUGAUUAUUGAGCUCGAUCCAAGCAUCUUCAAGCCUCAAUUUAGUGCAUAAAGCUUCAAGACAUCAUCUCAGGAGUAGAUCUGCAGCUUGCAAGGCCUUGAAUCCAUAGAUUUCAGCAACUGCUCUUCAAGAGGUAGGUUUUUCGAUCCUCUUAAUUGCUGAUUUUAUAUGCAUGAUCUUGUAGUUCUUCUCUUGCUGAUUAUUCUGAUAUAAAAUUCAUGUGAUUUGGAUGAAUAUUAACCGAGUUAUGUGGAUUUAAAGUUUUGUAUCCAAUAAUGUUUUUGAUCGAUUCUCAAGAUUCAUGUUGAAUUAGCCUUAAUUAAUGCUUGAUCUGUGAUGUACGUAAUGAGAGCUUUCUGUUGAUGUAUAUUUUAGUGAAUUCUGCAAAAAAAAUCAUGAGCUUGUUACUUUUCACCACCGUCUCAAGGUAGGAGACGGUGGUUUCCACCGCUGGCCGCCGCGCGCCGCGCCUGUACAGGCGCUAGGGUUUUUGGUUCAGGCUCUGCAUUUGUACUGUAGAAGCGCCAUUCACAUUCAUGUUGUGUGUUCGAUACCAAUCGUGGAUGGUUUUGAUUUUCAAUUAUCGUUUUCACGUAGGCCAAAACGCUGUAGUUUUGAUGACUAGCGCUUGCGUGUGCUACGUUGGCAAUUCCAUUGGCCUAGAUUCCUUGACUGCCUCCACGCAGGCUUUGACCAGUGAGGUGGCUUGCCACAUCAAUAAAUGAAACUACAGCGUUUCAUCAUUCCCUCACUUCGAUUCCAGGCUUUUGCACUUUUGAAUAUUAUUUGUUCAGCGCCUUAUUUUGAAUUGCCACCGAGUUCGAUUCCAGCCUGAGACAUUUUUUUCAAAUUAAUUCAUCAUUUCCUCUUUCCCUCCAUAAUUUCAUGUACAUUUUCCACAUUUUAUUUCAAAUAUUUUCCAACUUCAAAAAUUCAUAUAAAAUUGAAAACACAUCCAAUUAAUUCCCAAUUUUUUGCAAAAUGUUCAUGUGUUUGUCUAUUAUUUUGUGGUGUUUAUUUUUGAUUUUUAUCAUCUCUGGAUUUUUGAUUAUGGACUGGUAAUUGAUCAUACAUGCAUAUGUGACAUUGCUUCAUUCUUUCUAUUGUGAAAUGCUCAAUAAUGAUCCAAUUGCCAUGAAAUUUUGUGUGAUGAUUCCUAACAUGAUGCUUGACCUUUGAGGCUUGAUUGUGAAUUUUUACCAUUUUUCAUUUCUGUUUUUGACACAUAAACUUUUGGUGUGAAAAUGUGUGUCACACAAUUUGAUGUCAUACUUGUGCAUUUUCAUUUCUAGGUCAAAUGAGCUCUUCUGAUUAUAAGUUUUGGCAUGAUGAUUAUGUUUGACAUAUUGUGUGCACAUAGAAAUUUCUAGAAUUGUUUGAGCCAUUUCUGUUUUAAUAUGGAACUUUGAUUCUUAAUGUCCAAUUAUGUGCCUUGAAAUUGCCUUUGUCUUCUCUUGCUCACUACAUGACUUUGCUUGAUGAUUUUGAUUUGGUCCUUUUUAGGAUAUGCUCUUACUUGAUUAAAUGAGCUUUAUGUUGAAUAUUGGUUGCUGUUUUGACCUUUUGAUUUACCUUUGACCCUAGGCUUUGCCCUAGGGGUUUGUACUCACUAUUUGAGUUUUGCCUUUCAGGUUAAAGCAAUAAGUCCUAAUGGAUGAUCUAAUCUCCUUGCUUGAGAUACAAUUUGCUUUGUUUAACUAAUGUUGAUUGUGUUGUAGGUCCUUGGGUGGCUAACUCACUUGAGUUGUUGACUUACUUUGUGUAUAUUGGUUGUCUGACUGUUGACUGUCUGUUUAGUUUGUCUGAAUGAGAAUAUUGACUUGUUUGAUUUUCUUACAUGUACUUUAGUAGCUUUAACUCAUUAUUCGAGUUGCUUUGCUUUGCUUGUGGUCGACAUACCACUUAGGUAACCUCUCUAUUCUCCAUGUAGUCUGGAAGACCUGCUAUCUUUGGCAGGCACCUGUCUGAAGCCCUCCUUAAGAGGCCAUGUUCUUGAUUGUUUAAUUUUGUGCUAAAGACCUCAAUGAGGCAUGGGUUAACAUGAUUCAAGACCCUGCCUAAAGUGAAGAGGGCAUUGGCAGAUAGAAGGGAUGUGCAAUCCAUCCCCUGCUACUCAGUUUGAGUCUUUCAUCUUUGCUCGCACUAUGUGUGCUGAUGCAUUUUUGAAUAUAAACACCAAAAUCUUGUAGUUAUAGAGUCAGUCAUUGUGGGAAUAGAGUUCCUCAUUCUGGACUCCCACACCUUUUUUGAUUCAAGCUCACCCCGGACCAGGGUUAAGAGCUAUGAGGUUUAAUCCUCAAUCUCCUAUUUUCAUCUGCUCACCCUGACGGUCAAUUGCAGUGGUUAAGAGCUGACACCCCUUCCAGUAUUUGGCUUGUUUGUCCAGGUCGAUAUGCACCCUUGACUAAAGCCCAGCCUUGUAAUGAGCCUUUGAUAUGUGUAUAGACGUGUGCUAAUUGAUUGCUUGUUUGCUUACUUGUGCAUCCUUCAUGUUGCUUUUGCAUAUUGUUUGAUCUUGCUUCUUUGCCUAUUUGUUUUAUUUUGAGGAGUCAGAUGUAAGACCAUUAUUGGCAAUCUGUUUCGUUGUCCUUUUGGGGAGCUGGAUUAUAAGACCAUUUAUUGGCACUCCAUUUCCUUUUCUGUUUCUUUUUUGUGAGUCAGGUGUAAGACCAUUGAUUGGCUAUCUAAUUCCUGUUCCUUUUGGAAGAUAGAAGGGAUGUGCAAUCCAUCCCCUGCUACUCAGUUGAGCUUUCAUCAUUUGCUCGCACUAUGUGCUGAUGCAUUUUUGAAUAAACACCCAAAAUCUUGUAAUUAUAGAGUCAGUCAUUGUGGAAUAGAGUUCCUCAUUCUUGGACUCCCACACCUUCUUUUGAUUCAAGCUCACCCCGGCCAGCGGUUAAGAGCUAUGAGGUCUAAUCCUCAUCUCCUAUUUCAUCUGCUCACUCCUGACGGUCAAUGUCAGUGGUUAAGAGCCUACACACCUUCCAGUAUUUGGCUUGUUUGUCAAGGUCAUAUGACCCUUGACUAAAAGCCCAGCCUUGUAUAGCUUUGAUUGUGUAUAGAGUGUGCUAAUUGAUUGCUUGUUUGCUUACUUGGGCACCUUCUGUUGCUUUUGCAUGUUGUUUGCAUCUUGCUUUUGUAUUUGCUAUUUGUUUUUGUUUGAGGGAGCAGAUGUAAGACCUUGAUUGGCAUCUGUUCCUUUGGGGGAGCUGGAUAUAAGACCAUUUAUUUCCUUCCUUUUCUGUUUCUUUUUGUGGAGUCAGGUGUAAGACCAUUGAUUGUGCUAUCUGUUUCCUGUUCCUUUUGGCAGAUAGAAAGGGAUGUGCAAUCCAUCCCCUGCUACAUCAGUUGAGUCUUUCAUCUUGCGUCGCACUAUGUGCUGUGCAUUUUGAAUAACACCAAAAUCUUGUAUAUAGAGUCAGUCAUUGUGGAAUAGAGUUCCUCAUUUCUGGACUCCCACACCUUCUUUUGAUUCAAGCUCACCCCGGCCAGGGUUAAGAGCUAUGAGGUCUAUCCUCAUCUCCUAUUCAUCUGCUCACCCUGACGGUCAAUGUCAGUGGUUAAGAGCCUGACACCCUUCCAGGUAUUUGGCUUGUUUAUCAAGGUCAUUAUGACCUUGACUAAGCCAGCCUUGUAUGAGCCUUUGAUUGUGUAUAGAUGUGCUAAUUGAUUGCUUGUUUGCUUACUUGUGCAUCCUUCAUGUUGCUUUUGCAUUGUUUGCAUCUUGCUUUGCAUUUGCUUAUUUUGUUUUGUUUGGAGUCAGAUGUAAGACCAUUGAUUGGCUAUCUGUUUCCUGUUCCUUUUGGGGAGCUGGAUUAUAAGACCAUUUAUUGCAGUCCAUUUCCUUUUUGUUUCUUUUUUGUGGAGUCAGGUGUAAGACAUUGAUUGGCUAUCUGUUUCCUGUUCUCUUUUGGCAGAUAGAAGGGAUGUGCCAAUCCAUCCCCUGCUACUCAGUUGAGUCUUUUCAUCUUGCUCGCACUAUGGUGCUGAUGCAUUUGAAUAAACACCCAAAAUCUUGUAUAUAGAGUCAGUCAUUGUGGAAUAGAGUUCCUCAUUCUGGACUCCCACACCUUCUUUUGAUUCAAGCUCCCCGGCCAGGGUUAAGAGCUAUGAGGUCUAUCCUCAUCUCCUAUUUCAUCUGCUCACCCUGACGGUCAAUGUCAGUGGUAAGAGCCUGACACCCCUUCCAGUAUUUGGCUUGUUUUGUCAAGGUCAAUAUGACCCCUUGACUAAAGCCCAGCCUUGUAUAGCCUUUUGAUUGUGUAUAGAGUGUGCUAAUUGAUUGCUUGUUUGCUUACUUGUGCAUCCUUCAUGUUGCUUUUGCAUGUAUUUGUUGCAUCUUGCUUUGCAUUUGCUAUUGUUUUGUUGAGGAGGCAGAUGUAAGACCAUUGCAUUGGCUAUCUUGUUUCCUGUUCCUUUUGGGAGCUGGAUAUUAAGACCAUUUAUUGGCAGUCCAUUUUCCUUUUCUGUUUCUUUUUGUGGAGGUCAGGUUGUAAGACCAUUUGAUGUGCUAUCUGUUUCCUGUUCCUUUUGGCAGAUAGAACGGGAUGUGCAAUCCAUCCCCUGCUACUCAGUUGAGUCUUUCAUCUUGCUCGCACUAUGUGCUGAUGCAUUUGUGAAAUAAACACCCAAAAUCUUGUAUAUAGAGUCAGUCAUUGGAAUAGAGUUCCUCAUUCUGGACUUCCACACCUUCUUUUUGAUUCAAGCUCACCCCGGCCAGGGUUAAGAGCUAUAGGUCUAAUCCUCAUCUCCUAUUUCAUCUGUUCACCCUGACGGUCAAUGUCAGGUGUUAAGAGCCUGACACCCCUUCCAGUAUUUGGCUUGUUUGUCAAGGUCAAUAUGACCCCUUGACUAAAGCCCAGCCUUGUAUGAGCCCUUUUGAUUUGUAGUUAGAGUGUUGCUAAUUGAUUGCUUGUUUGCUUACUUGUGCUAUCCUUCAUGUUGCUUUUGCAUAUUGUUUGCAUCUUGCUUUUGCAUUUGCUAUUUGUUUUGUUUUGAGGAGUCAGAUGUAAGACCAUUGAUUGGCUAUCUGUUUCCUGUUCCUUUUGGGGAGCUGGAUAUAAGACCAUUUAUUGGCAGUCCAUUUCCUUUUCUGUUUCUUUUUGUGGCAGUCAGGUGUAAGACCAUUGAUUGGCUAUCUGUUUCCUGUUCCUUUUGGGCAGAUAGAAGGGAUGUGCAAUCCAUCCCCUGCUACUCAGUUGAGUCUUUCAUCUUGCUCGCACUAUGGUGGCUGAUGCAUUUUGGAAUAAACACCCAAAAUCUUGUAUAUAGAGUCUAGUUCAUUGUGGGAAUAGAGUUCCUCAUUCUGGACGUCCCACACCUUCUUUGAUUCAAGCUCACCCCGGCCAGGGUUAAGAGCUAUGAGGUUCUAAUCCUCAUCUCCUAUUUCAUCUGCUCACCCUGACGGUCAUAUGUCAAGUGGUUUAAGAGCCUGGACACACCCUUCCAGUAUUUGCUUGUUUGUCCAAGGUCCAAUUUGGAACCCCUUGGACUUAAAAGGCCCAGCCUUGUUAUGAGGGAGCCUUUUGCAUUGUAGUUAUAGAGUGUCCUUAAUUGAAUUUGCUUGUUUUGGACUUACUUUCCGUCGCUAUCCCUUUCAUGUUGCUUUUUGCAUAUUGUUUGCAUCUUGCUUUUGCAUUUGCUAUUUGUUUUGUUUGAGGAGUCAGAUGUAAGACCAUUGAUUGGCUAUCUGUUUCCUGUUCCUUUUGGGGAGCUGGAUAUAAGACCAUUUAUUGGCACUCCAUUUCCUUUUCUGUUUCUUUUUGUGGAGUCAGGUGUAAGACCAUUGAUUGGCUAUCUGUUUCCUGUUCCUUUUGGGGAGCCGGAUAUAAGACCAUUGAUUGGAACUCCAUUUCCUAUCUUGUUUUGUUUUGUGGAGUCAGAUGUAAGACCAUUGAUUGGCUAUCUGUUUCCCAUGUUGCUUUGUGGAGUUGGACGUAAGACCAUUUAUUUGCACUCCGUUUCCCAUUUGUUUUCGGAGUGGACGUAAGACCAUUUAUUGGCAAUCCAUUUCCAAUUUUAUUGCUCCUUUGAGCUUGCUUAUUUGCUUUUGCCUUGUGUUGCCUAAUUCCAAAGGAACUUCCUUGAAUCAUUUCUAUGAUUUUGAGAAAGCGAUUCCUAUUUGUGGCUUUGUCCCUUAACCCUUUUGAAUCAUUUCUAUGAUUUUGAGAAAGCGAUUCCUAUUUGUGGCUUUGUCCCUUAACCCUUUUGUGCUUAACCUUGAACCUUGUUUUCAUCUUUAACCCAAACCAGAAAACUUUUGUGCAAACAUUUUCAUCUGUUUCCAAACUAGAAACCUAGGCCUUAAGCCUCUGAUUUUCAAACUUCAUUUUCACAAUACUUCUUUUGAAUUGAACUUUAAUGUCAACUUUGACUCAUCUUUGUGAAUACUCAUAAUUGGUUAAUUUCACUCACUCAAUUGCUUUUGUGGCCCUUGUCCACUUCUUGAUAAGUUUUCAUACAUUAGCCAUAGAUCUGAAUUAUCGUAGUGGUUUAUGUAAAUCUCACCGCAUCCUUAGUGAUUGAAUUGUAAGACUUCCAUGCUUAUUAUAGGGUUAACCCCUCACUAGCGUGUUGUAGCUGUUCUCACGUGGUGGAUUGUUGGUUCAGGUUGAGUUUUCUCUCGUUGAUAAUGAAAGACCUUAAGGUUCUUGUUUAAAAUCAAUCCACUCACUUUUUGGAAAUCUUUUAGCCAAACUACGGCGUUUUGAUCCUUAUCUUUCAUGAAAAGGUACGUAGGCAAUGGGUUCAUCCAUUCAAACACAAAAAUAAUAAAAAUUGUAUAUUCUUUUCUCAUCUCUUCAAUCAAUGUUUGCAAAAAAUUUCAUAAACAAAUAGAUCCUACAACGAGGUUGUGAAAAAGAGGUUCCCAGGAGACUGAUGGUGUGGUGCCCUACACGCUUCCCACACAAUAAUUAUCCGCCUUUACCCAGAUCUCUGACCUUUUAGUAGUUUUUACUCUGUGUAAAACUUAGGCUUUUGUUCGCUUUCUAGCCAUUCCUUUGGAUAAAUAGAAGUGCGGUGGCGACUCUAUCUUUGUAUGCUUUGCUUUUGAUUUAGUCAAUAAAUCAUAAAGUGACGAAUACACCGCUACAAUGAUCAGUUGUGUAGCGCGCUGACUAGCGUGUACCAUGGAACACGCGUUUCUCACCUCUUGAUCUUCCACCUCAAUUAAUGAGGGAGAUCAAGUGGUCCACAUUUUUUUUUAUUAUCUGAAUUUUCAUUUUAUUCCUCUUAUUUUCAUUAAUUCAUAUUAAAUUUAAUAUUGAUCCAAAAAAUAUGAGAGUUUCACCAAAAAAUUUAAACAAAAUCCUCUUUCAUUUUUUGAAUUAAAAUUAUUUUUUGGAUCAUUAUUAAUAUUUUUCACGAUUUAAUUAAUUUUGUGAAUAUUUUUAAUUGUUUAAAAAUACUUUUAAGUUUUCAAAAAUUCUGAAAUUUUUUCUCCAAGGUCCUUUGACCUUGUUUGACCUAUGAUAAAUCCCAUGGGCAUUUCUUUGGCGUUUUGAUGAUGUUUUAGGAAACUGACCAACCAUAUUUAAUUUAAUGCAUUAUUUUUAUUAUAUUUAAUUGAUUAAAUUCCAAAUUAAUUGUGUAGAGCUAUUUUAAUUGAUUUUGUGAGUUUGACUUGUGUUGUUGGGCCUUGGUCAAGGCUGAUUUGACUUUGCUAGGUUAAGAUAAUUAAAUUUAGGGGAUUGAUGGAAUGUACAUUCCAUCUCCCAAAAUGAAUGCAUGAUCUUAACUUGGUAAAAGUCCUCCUUUGUCCAAUUUGUGUUUGAUCCAUUCCCCCUCCCUCUUCGUCUCACUCCCCUUCUUUAUGCAUUCAUGUCAUGGACCUAUAAUAUCUCUAUAUCCUAAGGCUAGUUGAUUGCAAAAUCAACAUAAGUAUGGAUGAGAUUAGGUCCCCCACUUUGCAUAUUCUUUUUGUGUGUGACUAUAAUAUCUCUAUAUCCUAAGGCUAGUUGAUUGCAAAAUCAACAUAAGUAUGGAUGAGAUUAGGUCCCCCACUUUGCAUAUUCUUUUUGUGUGUGGUAUGUUUCAUGAGCAUAGUUAAUCAUACUAUGUCUCUAACAUGCAUUAACACCAAAAUUCUAUUGCCCGACCUCAAAUAGUUGUGACUUCUACAUAAGUCCAAUUACGAUUGCUUAACAUAGCACUAAAUUUUGACACAAAAGGCAUAACAUUCUAGUUAGUGAGAUUGUAAGUCUCCCCUCUCAUGGUAUUUUAUGGAAACUUAGCCUUUUUUCCUUCUUUUGGAAGAUGUCUUGGUUCAUGGAUCCAUGCUUGUGAUAAGUGGAUUGAGUGUUCUCCAAAGAAUGACUUAAAACAAAAGAAAAAGAAAUACUAACUUCUAACUCAUUAACAACUAACAUUUAAUUUCAAGUCAUUUACUUUUUAUGCAUUUUAAUUUUUAAAGCUUUAUUCAUUUGCCAUUAUUCAUACCAUUCAAGUUGUUUAUGUUAAUGUCAUUUUCAAUUUGUCCACUUGAACCAUAUUUUGUGACAUAUUGUGAUUGUGUAUAUUGUGAUUGUUUGUGUGGUCUUUGACCAUUAUUAUACAUAAUAAGAACAAAAACCCUAAAAAAUAUCUUGUGUGGACUGUUGGUUUGAUCUGAGACAAUUGGACUUAGAAUUUAGGCAACACUUCCUAUGCAAAGGACUUGGCCAAUGCCAACUUUCAUAAAACCAAAUGCUUGUGAAUUGAAACUUCAUCUGAUACAUCAUUGAAGAUCCAUUUAAGUUCAUCUGCAACAUGAUCAUUAUGAAGUUGUUAUUUUGAACCUGUGACUUAUGCCAUCCUUUGAAGUCAUCUACUACAUGGGCAAAACUUGAAGAAGAUCAUGGAGUUGUCAAGCUUGGAUGUGGCUAUCUUUAUUUGAUGCCUUGAUCUUCAACUUGCUGUUUGUAUAUUAAUUGUUGUGUGAUUCUAAAGUCCAAGGGAAAUUUGGGUUUCUAUAUAACAUUCUUGUCUACUGGAUUGUAGCCCGUUGGUCAGAUCUUUUCAACUCUUAACUUUUAAAUUUAUGCAUAGGAUUAGUCUCUCCAUCUCCUCCCCAUUUCUUUAAUUUCAAAAUCUAUCCCUCCUUUUAAAAAUCUUCUUUGCUUGUGCUUGUUUUUUCUAAACUUUGACCAUUUUGCAAGCUAGAAACUUUGGCCUUAUGCCAUUGCAUUUUUAAACUCAUUUUCUAAAAUCAAACUUUGUAAAUGAACUUAACCAUACUUGACCUAAAAUUUCAAAAGUAAAAAAGAACUAACACUCAUUCAAACCAUUUUUAGGCCCUUGUGCCUUUCAAACUUAAAUUUUUGUUAAAAGCAAUGCAUCCAUUUUAAAAUUGUUACCACGAACUACGAGGUUUUGAUCCCUCAUUUUUAUGUUGGUACGUAGGCACAAGUCCGAAGGUCUUGUCAAACACAAAAAUAUAAUUAAAGAAUUCUUUUCUCAUACCCUCAUUCUAUUUGUUUGCAAACAUAAUUUUGUACAAAAACACAUAUGCACACAAGAAAGGGCUCCCUAGGAGUAACUAGGACACUUUGGGUGCUAACACCUUCCCUUUAUGUAACCAACCCCCUUACCUGUAAUCUCUGGCAUUUUAUUAGUUUUGAUUUGAAAACUUCUUAUUUUUGGGUUUUGUUCAUACUUUUCCCUUUUCCCUUGGAAACAAUAAAAGCGCGGUGGCGACUCUGGUUUUAUUGACGUCUAGCUUAUCCAUAGCUUGAUGGUCAUGAAUUUACCGCUACAGAAAUUAAGUUGCGACUCUGCUGGGGAGUAGUCUUCAGUGGGUUUAGCCUACAUUUUUGUGUGUAUAUAAUUAUAUAUUUGAUGUAUGUAUAUUUGUUUGUGUGAUAUAAUUUUCUUGUUGUGCUUGGUGAUCUCUGAGUGGUGAGAUAAGUUCUAACUCGAACUUGAGUGCAACUAAGAUAGGAGGAUGAUAUAGUCAUGUUCGACUUGUAUGGAGUAGUCCUUAACAAGUUGGCUUGAGACUCAUCCACUCAGUGGAGACCCUUUUGGAGUUGGGAAUGUCACACAACUAUUUGUGGUUAGGCAUUACUAUCUCUGAUUUGGAGACCCUUUUGGAGUUAGGAAUGUCACACAAUUAUGAUUCUUACCCUCAUUAGGAGUUCUUCAUCACAGAAACUAAGAUUGUUGCAGGAAGUGAUGUUAGCUACUAUAUAAUCGAACUGGUCCACGGUAACAUCAUGUUCCACAAACGCUUGUUCUAGAACUCUUUGCAGUACUUCUCUGUGCGCUUCUGAAUUCAUGAGCAGAGACAGUACUGAAAUCUUUGAGGGGGUUUGGAGUAGCUGCUCCACCAUAUUAAACUCGAUUUUCUUGAUCAAACGAAGUACCUCAUCAUCAUCGUUAGCCUUCAAGUUGCUGGAUUCACCAGACUGACACUUUGAAGCACUAGUCGGAUCUACAGCAGGCACUUCCAUCUUCUUACUGACAAUCGAUUCUUCCUUAUCUUUUGGGAACACCGGCCUAAACACUCGACCGUUACGGGUCACCUUAGUAACAUCAGCAAUGCUCAUGACAGAACUGGUUGUAGGAAAUGGAACCUCUUGACCAUCUUUCACCAUAGUUGCAUUAUACUGAUACAGAACAGCCUUAUCGGAUGAGUAUGGGACUGGACCCACUAACUGUAUGACCAACGGUGAUACCGAUAUAUUGUUAAUGUUGUUACUGCUGUUGCUAUCAUACUGAAUGACUACUCUUUCUGGAUUCUUGAAAGCAUGCACUAUGACAUUCACAUCGUCAUCUAUGUGACGGGAUUUAACAAUUUGAAUCAUACCUUCAUCCAUCAACCGCUCGAUGUCUCUUUUCACUACCAUACAACCCUUUGGGUUGACACUACAGAUAGCACAACCAUCAUGGUCAUGCUCACAAUCGCUCACCAAGAAAAUGUCCUUAUGCAUCGUCACCAAAGACCUUCUGAUGAAAUGGACAUCGAACACUUUGAACUUCCGAGGACAGCCGUGUACCAUGUUGACUGAUGAAUUCCCAUGAGCGGGUAGUGGGUUUGCUUUCACAUUAGGUGCGCGGUCUUCGAAAGACACCAUUCCACUCUUCACUAGCUUUUGAACUUCGUAUUUGAGUGGAUAGCGGUUCUCAAUGUCAUGUCCGGGUGCUCCUUGAUGAAAAGCACAACGGAGGUCAGGUUUGUACCACCAUGGAAGUGGUUCAGGUACUUGCGGAAGGUUUCUUGGUUGUAGCAGGUUCUUGAGAACCAACGAUGGGUAAAGCUCUGCAUAUGUCAUCGGAAUCGGGUCGAAAGAGACCUUCUUCGUCUCAAAAUUUUGUUGUUGAUGAUUGUUGGUAUUGUUGUUGUUGUAGGUGUUUGUUCGUUGCGGUGGUUGUUGUUGUUGACGCUGUUGUUGUUGAAUCAGUGUUGAUUGACUUGCGGAAAAUACAGGAAUUACGGAGGAUACUUGAUGAUGGCGUUGACGGGGUGGUUGAUUCCUUCUGAUCUGAGGCCUCCUCUGCCUCCCACUGGAAAUUGUAUUGGCUUUGCUGUCUUUCUUCUUCCUGAAACUGCUGCCAUAUCUCUUACUCGAUGAUGCCUCCUCUUUUGACAAUCGUCUUUCUUGGACACCUUCUUCAAGCCUCACCCCCAUAUUUACCAUUUCGGUAAAGACAUUGGGGGCACUGGCGAUCAUACGUUCAUAGUAAAAUGAACUCAGGGUCUUCAAAAAGAUCUCUGUUAUCUCAUUCUCUUCCUAAGGAGGAGUGAUCUGAGCAACUAACUCUCUCCAUCUUUGCGUAUAUUCUUUGAAUGUCUCCUUAUCUUUCUGAGACAUAGACCUCAAUUCGUCUCUAUCAGGCGCCAUAUCAACGUUGUACUUGUACUGCUUAACAAAUUCUUCUCCCAAAUCGUUGAAAGAGCGGAUGCUUGCACUAUCCAACCCCAUAUACCAUCUUAGCACAACGCCGGUCAAACUGUCUUGAAAGUAAUGGAUUAACAGUUGAUCAUUGUCAGUUUGGAUAGACAUCUUGCGGGCAUACAUCACCAAGUGACUGAGCGGACAUGUGUUCCUUUUGUAUUUUUCAAAGUCAGGCACUUUGAACUUCACUGGAAUCUUCACAUUCGGCAUCAGACACAAUUCAGCAACACUCUUCCCAAAAAGAUCCUUACCUCUCAAAUUUUCAACUCCUUGCGCAGCUCAAGAAAUUGAUCUUUCAUCUCAUCCAUAUUCUCAUAAACGUCCGGACCCUCAAAUGGCUCAGAAUGAUAAAUGGUGUCUUCCACACGAGGUAAGGUGUGCACUACAGGCGGUGGUACAAACAUGACUGGGCUAGAUGCCGGCAUGGAAGCAAAUGUAGGCGCAAAACCUUCAGGCAUGAAGUUCGGCGGUAUUCCCCACGGGAAUCCGACAGGCAUGGCAGGUGCGAAAUGAGCGGUAGUAGCAGGCAUGGUAGAGGUAACCACCUCUGAAAUAAUGGUCCUCUGAGGAGGAGGAGUUGCGGGCGUUAGAGAAGACUGACUUUGUGCAGCUAGAGCUGACUCCAUCAUGGCAGUCAGGCGGGCAAUCUCAUCCUUUAGCUCUCUAUUCUCUUGCUCAAGAUGUUCCAUGAUUCUGGUGUGAUUGGCGCGAGUGUUGUAUCAAUGAGUCAGCUUGGCUAAUGCACAGAAGAAACACCAAUGAGACAUCUGGCGAAAGAGAAACCUGCUUAUGCAAAUGAUGCAUGAAAUGCAAUGCUUGUUUAUUUAUUUUUUGUUUUCAAAGAACUUACUAUAUUGUUUUUGGCAAAUAUAUAUAUAUAUAUAUUAUAUAUAUAUAUAUAGUAUAUAUAUAUAUAUAUAUAUAUAUAUAUAUAUAUAGUAUAUAUAUAUAUAUAUAUAUAUAUAUAUAUAUAUAUAUAUAUAUAUAUAUAUAUAUUAAUUAGUAUAUAUAUAUAUAUAUAUAUAUAUAUUUAACAACAAUUGCAACAAUUUGAUAUGACCAAAAAUCUCUUUUCAUUUAUAAUUGGAAGGAUUACACUGAGUACAAUUUCAGAAACCAAAUGGAAAGUAAAAGAGUAAAGGAGACUAGUCAUCCUAAGGAUCCCUAACAACAAUGUCAAAAGAUCUGGCUGUAGGCGCGUACUUCUUUCGAAUGCGUCUAAUCUCGGCCUCGAAAGAAGCCUUCAUCUGAGUCUUCUCGAGGACAAACUGAUCAACAAUCUUCUUCCAAGCAACAGAAGGAUGAGGCAUGCUAGAGGAAGAUGAGACCUCUAACUCUCUCUGUCUCUUUGUCACUCGGUCUUCAAGUAGCUUAAUGAGUGGAUCUUUGUCCUUAGACUCCAACUGCAACUCCUCAUGCUUUUUUGCUCAAAGCACGAAAACACUCUUCCCACAUAUCCUUCUCUUGCUUCAUCUUGGCGAGUGCGUCUUCCAACUCCUCUAUAUCUUGGUUAGGGAGAGUUAAUGGCUCAACCACAACCAUAGACAUAGGUCUCUCACAAGGAUAAGGCAUCUUCAACUCCAAAGCUCUCUUCUUCACCCAAAGAGUGUAAGCUUCCAAAGCUACACAAUUGCACGAACCAAGCUCGAAUCUUCCCUCCUAUGACAUUAUGCAAGCAUGCACAAUCUUUUGCUUCAAAUGUUGGGGAUCUUUACCCUCUUGAUAGAAAAUACCUUCUAACAAAGUGUUAUUAGGUUUGUCUCUCAAGGGGAACCCAAGUUGACGACGAGCCAAAGCAGGAUUGUAGUUAAUUCCUCCCUUUGUACCAAUGAGGGGUACAUUAGAGAAUUCACGACAACAAUCAAUAAUCUCCAAACUGCUCGAAGAAGGAUCAUACCAAACUAUAUCAUCAUUAGUGAUAGACAUAAGUCUCUGAGACCACCGUAGACAUUGUUUGUUCUCCACAAAAGCAGGUGUCUGAGGCAAGUGCGAAAUAAACGACUUGUACAGAAGAGGAAUGAAACAGACAAUAGUUCCACCACCUUUAGAGUUCCUUAGAUGCAAAGAGAAAUACAUAUCACCCAACAAUGUAGGCACAUGAUUCCCAAUCAAGAAAACUCUAAUGGCGUUAACAUCAACAAAAUCAUCAAUGUUAUGGAACAAAGCUAAUCCAUAAAUGAGCAACACAAAGAUGGCUUCAAAAGCGUCCACACUACCGGCUUGAGCAAAAGCAGUAGCUUCCUUGAUGAGGAAAUCAGAUGGCAAUCCAAACAAUCCUCCUUUCUUCACCCAAUGAGCCUCAAUCUCAGACUUCUUCAAGUGAAGAGCUUCAAUAAUAAGAUGAGAUCUGGGAAUCUCCUCCAAUCCUCUAAAAGGUACCUUUAUAGAAACAGGUAUUCCCAAGAGAUGGGCAUACUCCUCUAAUGUAGGCAAAAGCUAAUAAUCCGGAAAAGUGAAGCAACGGUAGAGAGGAUCAUAGAACUGCACUAACACACUCAAAAGUCCUUCAACUACAUCAGCAGACAAGAUAGACAGAAGCUUCCCAUGGAGUUGUUUGAAGUCCAAGGGAUUUAAUACAAAAGAUGCUAGCUUCCUUAACUCUUUCAAGUCGGGACAUCUGAAACUGUACUUCUUAGUGUUCCUUUGUCUACAAUCCAUGGUGUGAAAAUAUUUGCAAAUAAUACCUUAGUUCCUUGAAAUUUUUGUGUGAUGAAUGUUAUGAUACGUAUGAAUGCAUGAAUGCAACAAUCACAAAUAAGGGAUCACGCACAAGGCAAGCAAACAAAGGUCAAGGGAUGAAUCAAGUCAUUGUCAAGAUCAAUCAUCCAUUUUGGUGGAUUAUGGUUUUCACCUUAUCAGCACCCAAGUUCCAUUGAUAUUGACAAUACUUGAUUGGAUCAACCAAGAAUAAAGGGUUUGUCGUGACUCACGAGCAUGGAGUCUGGGUAAGAACCAUCCCAAGGGAGUGAACUAAGGAUAAAAACCUGUAAAUCAUGUUCUAAAAAGUUCCCAGAGUCUUAAUCCCAUAUAUCGGAUAUUACAGGUUAAGAUGACUGACUCAUCAACCCAUAAUAUUCUCAAGAGAAACUCGUCUGAGUGUAGUAUCGCGUAAUAACUGUUAUCAAGUCUACACUUGAACAGUAUCCUCACUACGUCCUAAAUAGGCCAAGUGGGGAUAAAUGUUCUACGGUCCUCAGCUUCUCGGAUCCAAACUAGAGAUAGUAAUGCCUAACCACAAAUACUUGUGUGACAUUUCCAAAUCCAAAAGGGUCUCCACUGAGCAUAUGGAUCUUAAGCCAACUUGUUAAGGAAUACUCCACACAAGUCGAACAUGACUAUACCAUCCUCAUAUCUUAAUUACAGUCAAGUUCGUGUUAGAGCUUAUCUCACCACUCACAGAUCACCAAGCACAACAAGCAAAUUAUAUCACACAGAUAUACAUACAUCAUAUAUAUACAAUUAUAUACACAUAAAAAAGUAGGCUAAACCCACUCGAGACUACUCCGCAGCAGAGUCGCCACUUAAUUUCUAUAGCGGUAAAUUCAUGAUCAUCAAGCUAUGGAUAAGCUAGACAUCAAAUAACAAGAGUCGCCACCGCGCUUUUAUUGUUUCCAAGAGAAAAGGGAAAAGUACGAACAAAACCCAAAAAUAUGAAGUUUUCAAAUCAAAACUAAUAAAAUGCCAGAGGUUACAAGUAAGGGGUUUGGUUACACAGAGGGAAGGUGUUAGCACCCAAAGUGUCCUAGGUACUCCUAGGGAGCCUUUUCUUGUGUGAAUGUGUAUUUUGUACAAAGUGAUGUUUACAAAUAAAUAGAAUGGGGGGGGGGGAUUUAGAAAAUAACAAGUUCAAACAAAGAAGUUUUUAAAAGGAGGGAGAGAUUUUGAAAUUAAAGAGAUGGGGAGGAGAUGAAGAGACUAAUCCUAAGCAUAAAUUUAAAAGUUAAGAGUUGAAAAGACCUGGCCAAUGGGCUGCAAUCCAAUAGGCAAGAAUGCCAUAUAGAAACCACAGGUUCAAAAUAACAGGUUCACAAUGAUCAUGUUGCAGAUGAACUCAUAUGGAUCUUCAAUGAUGUAUCAGAUGAAGUUUCAAAUUGCAAGCACUUGGUUACAUGAAAGGGCAUUGGCCAAGUCCUUUUGCAUAAGGAUGUUGCCUAGAUUCUAAGUCCAAUUGUCCAAGAUCAAACCAACAGUCCACACAAUAGUUUUUUAGGGUUUGAGUUUCUUAUUAUGUACAUUAAUGGUCAAAGACCACACAAACAAACAAAAUUUACACAAACAAGAUAUAUCACACAAUAUGGUCCAAGUGGAGAAAGUGAAAAGACAUUAAUAUAAAUAAUUAGAAUGGUAUGGAUAAUGGCAAAUGAAUAGAGCUUAAAGUGCAUUAAAAGUAAAUGGCUUCAAAUUAAAUGUUAGUUGUUAAUGAAUUAGAAGUUAGUAUUGUUUUUGCUUUUGCUUUUUAAGUAAUUCUUUGGAGAACACUCAACCCACUUAUCACAAGCAUGGAUCCUUGAACCAAGACAUCUUCCAAAGGAAGGAAAAAAGGCCAAGUUUCCACACAAUACCAUGAAAGAGGGGAGACUUACAAUCUCACUUAUCACAAGCAUGGAUCCUUGAACCAAGACAUCUUCCAAAGGAAGGAAAAAAGGCCAAGUUUCCACACAAUACCAUGAAAGAGGGGAGACUUACAAUCUCACUAACUAGAAUGCUAUGCCUUUUUAUGUCAAAAUUUAGCGCUAUGUUAGGCAAUCGUAAUUGGACUUAUGUAGAAGUCAUAACUAUUUGAGGCAGGGCAAUAGAAUUUUGGUGUUAAUGCAUGUUAGAGACAUAAUAUAAUGGACUAUGCUCAUGAAACAUACCACACACAAAAAGAAUAUGCAAAAUAGGUGGCCUAAUCUCAUCCAUACUUAUGUUGAUUUUUCAAUCAACUAGCCUUAGGACUUUGAGAUAUCACAGGCCAAAUGGAAUGGAUGCAUAAUAAAGAAGAAUUAGAUGAAGAGGGAAGGGAAUAGAUCAAAACUCAAAUUGGUCAAAGGAGAACUUUUACCAAAUUAAUAUCAUUCAUUCAUUUUGGGAGAUGGAAUGCACAUUCCAUCAAUCCCCUAAAUCCAAUGAUCUUAACCUAGCAAAGUCAAAUCAACCUUGACCAAGGCCCAACAACACAAGUCAAACUUAUACAAAUUAUCAAGAUAGCUCAACACAAUUAUUUGGCAUUUAUUCAAUUUAAAAAAUACUAAAAAUAAUGCAUUAAAUUAAAUAUAGUUUGUCAAAUUCCUAAAGUCUCAUCAAAACACCAAAGAAAUGGCCAUGGGAUUUAUCAUAGGGCAAACAAGGUCAAAGGACCUUGGAGAAAAAAAUUCAGAAUUUUUGGAGACUUAAAAGUAUUUUUAAACAAUUAAAAAUAUUCACAAAAUCAAUUAAAUCAUGAAAAAUAUUAAUAAUAAUCCAAAAAAUAAUUUUAAUUCAGAAUAUGAAAGAAGAAUUUAUUUAAAAUUUUUGGUGAAACUCUCAUAUUUUUUGGAUCAAUAUUAAAAUUAAUAUGAAUUAAUGAAAAUCAAAUGAAAUAAAAUGAAAAUAAAAAAAUAAAAAAAAACGUAGACCACUUGAUCUCCCUCAUUAAUUGAGGUGGCAGAUCAAGUGGUUUAAAACGCGCGUUCCACCAAAGACACGAGUCAAUGCGCAACACUAAUGGUAUUCAAAAGCAACGCUCAAGAUUAAAACAAUUUAAAUAAGAUCAAUGGCUCAGAACCUGUCCAGCACACCACCGACGUUGGACCUCCGGUCACCUUCUCAGGCGAGGUCCACUGGACUGGUUCAAUCAUCAUCAUCAAGAAAAUGAAAAAAAAAGGACAUGAUCUGAAAGAAAAAAUGGCUUAGAGCACGAGUCUAGCCUCAAUUUCAACUAACUCCAAAUACAUAGAAAGAUAUGAGGAGUUGAAUUUUGAGGUGUGUCAGGUGAGUUGCUUCGAUUUGACCUCAAAGCAACUCAAUCUUCUUGCCUACAUUGGUAGGACUUCAGACAACCAAAGAUCCAAGAGAAUUGAUGAUAAUCGAGUGAGAAUUGAAGAGGAGAAGAUUUCUGAAAAUUACCUUCAAUGUUGUGUAGAAAUGGAUCUUGCUUGCUUCAAACUUGACUUGAUCACACUCGAGGAGCUUGCAGAAGUGGUUUGGCAAUGGUACAAAGCUUUGGAUCCUAGAGUUUUUGAAUCUCCAAAUAGUGAGAUUCAAACUCAAUUUUCAAGUUGAAAAUUCUCAGGUUUUCCUUUGAAUGGCGAGGGUUUCAAUUGGGGGGCAAAGCUGGCGCGCAAGGUGUGUUUGAAAUGAGCUCAGAGGCCUUGUAUUUAUAGCAUUUGGGAUUGAUAAUUGCACACUUGAAAAAUCGCUAAAAAUGGCAAGGGUGAUGCACAAGCAUGCAUGGGCGUGUACAAGCCCAUGAAGCAAUCCAUUAAGAUCCAAUUGCAACUGUGCUGAAGUUCAAAUCAUGCUUGAAUGGCAAGGAAAAGUGAAAUGGAGUUUUGGACACUUGAUUUUCUCCAAUGAUGCAGACCUGUUAAGACCAUGCGCAACCCUAGCAAACCUCAUCCAAAAUGCAUGAAAUAGGGUUCUUUGGAAAGCUUACAUCAAGGGGAACAACUUUGAUGUUGAACACUUUUCCAAUUGGAAUUGGAUCAUGGUGAAUUUUAAGGUGGAAGUUUGGAAAUUUCAACAUAUUGAAAUUUUUUCUAAGUGUUAAGUCAUAUAUCUCAAUAUUCCACCUUGCUUAACUUCUUAUGUGGGUUUCAAAUGAGAAAAGUGUUUUCAUAAAAGUUGUAGAUCUUUCAAAGUCCUUCAAAAUGGUCACCAAUUUCAUAUUAUUUGGAUUUAUAAUGAUAGAGUUAUUGAUUUUUGAAGUUGAGGAAAAUCACUUGUUCAAUGGUAUAGGUAAAAAAUGACCUAUAAUGUAUCCUUAGAUCACAUGCUCAUAAAAGUUGAUUUAGCUCUCACUCCAAACAUCAAAGUUGAAUUAAACAUCUUGAAUUUGAUUGUGCAACUUGUAAAUCUUUCAUCUCAUAAAAAUUGAGCAAGUUAUCUCCUUGGGAGGUUGACUUUCAAAUUAGGGUUUAGACAAAAUGACCUAUAAUGUUUCAUCAUAGAAAAUGAUUUUCCAAGAAAAACUAGAUCUAGGUCUCAAAAUGAAAGUUGUUUGGAAUGUCAUUUAGAGUAAAUUUUAUCUUGAAAUAGUUUUCAUAAGGUGAAAAUUACAGGAGAUAGCGUCUAGGGAGACCCAAUUUUGAUCAGAUGAAUUCAUCUGACCAACCACCAUCAACCAACUUGAUAACCUUCAAUUAUCUUGACUUUCUAUGCUCAUGGUAGAUCAUAUAUGCAUAAGAUUAUGAAUUUUGAAAUGUGCCUUGAGAAAUUUGAUCAAUUAGUGAGAUAGCUUGUUGGAGAAGUUUGUUGGUGUAAGCCCUAGAGGCCAAUACUUUUGGUACUUGUAUCGAAUUAUUUAUUAAUAAUAAAAGGCUUUUUCUUUAUUAUGUUUGUUUAAUAAAGUCCCUAGAAUAGCUAGUCCAUUUAAUGUAUCAAGUAUGACUUAAUCAUGAGAUCACAUUAAACAUAAGGACACUAUUCUUAAAGUAUUCGUAGUCAAGCUUUAUUGUGAAGUGGAUAACAUUAAAGCAUGAAGACUAUUAUGUUUAUAGGACUGAUGAUCACAUCUCAUGGAUCAUGGAUAAAGAGUUAUCAAGUCUUAAACAUAGGUAUGAAUAUUAAGAGUAAUAUUUAUACUGGAUUGACCCGCUAUGAGAAUAUAUAUAGAAUGUUAUGAAAAGUGUCAUAAGUUAUUCUCAUGGUGAUAAUGUGUAUACCACCCUUCGACCUGAAACCACUAUGGAACCUAGAUGUAGAGUCGAGUGCCUUAUUGCUGAUCAAACGUUGUCCAUAAUUGGAUGACCAUAAAGAACCGUUGAGGUGUACUCCACGAAGCAUGCUAAGGGACAUGAGUGACCUAGAUGGAAUUUGCCCAUCCUGCGUAACAGGAUAAAUGUCUAUGGGCCCAAUAUUAAACUGGACAAGGAUGACACAGUCUAUGCCUUGUGCUCAAUAUAGACAUAAGGGCAAAAGGGUAAUUAUACACAUAAUUAUUAUCACAUAAGGAUUUGUCAGAUCACAUGACAUUUUCGUGUCUUGGAUAGCAGUGAUGUGUUGCUAGAUACCGCUCACUAUUUAUUAUGUUAAAUACGUGAUUUAAUAUAAUUGCCAAUGCCGCGAAAACCUAUAGGGUCACACACAAAGAAUGGAUUGAUGAGAGAUAGAGUAAUUAAGGAAUACCAUAAUGUACGGUGCCCUUAAGUGAAUUAUAGAACAUCGUAAGAUACGGUGUACUUAAGUAGAAUAUGAAAUAUGGUAAGGUACCACACACUUAAGUGAUUUUGGCAUAUUAUAAGAUAUGGGCCAUAUACACUUGAGUGGGCUUUUUAGCUUGCAGCCCACACAAGUGGUUAAAUAGAACCCUUGUGUAGAAGCAUGAUACACUUGCAAUUUCGUCUCUCUCUCUCUCUCUCUCUCUCACUCAAAGCCUUCAUUCGUAGCAGCUAGCAUUGAGAUUGAAGGAAUCCGUUCGUGUGGACUGAGUAGAGGCGUUGUCAUCGUUCAACGUUCGUGAUCGCCACAAGAGGUAAUGAUUCUAUCACUGAUCAUGCCCAUUCGUAAGGAUUAUUAAAGGAGAAAUUUUAAAUUCCGCUGCGUUUUAGAUCGCCCUUCUCCUUCAAAGUUACCUAAGAUACCCAGUCAAACUAGGGUUUCCAAGGCAAAUCACUUCCAAACUCUUGAAGAAUACUUGAUCAAUAUGGCAUGUAGAGAUCAUUGGGACUCAUAUAUGAUACUUUGAGACAUUGUGAAUCCAUCCUUGGUUGUUCUUUUAGCCAUGAGGGUCUUAAACCCUAGAUGUGAACUUGAUAGAUCAAUGAUGAUCAUGCCCUACCUACAAAAGAGUUAGGCAAAUGCAAAGACAUAUUUUUGGUGUUUUGGUUAGUAAAAUGAUAAUAUACAAGUAUGAUACAAUCACAUAGUGCUUGGUGAUCUCUCCCAAAGCAAACCCAAUGAAAGAGGGGGUAAGGAGGAUGCCAAGGUAUGAUCCCAAUGCCAAUGCAUAUAAUGAAAUUUGCAUGAGGGAUCUUAGGGUCAAAAUUGGGGUCUUACAGACUCAAGUUGCAACUCUUCAUGCUUUCUGCUCAAAGCAUGGAACCGCUCUUCCCACAUAUUUUUCUCUUGCUUCAUCUUGGCGAGUGCGUCUUCCAACUCCUCUACAUAUUGGUUAGGGAGAGUUAAUGGCUCAACCACAACCAUAGAUAUAGGUCUCUCACAAGCAUAUGGCAUCUUCAACUCCAAAGCUCUCUUCUUCGCCCAAGUAGUGUUAGCUUCCAAAGCUACACAGUUACACGGACCAAGCUUGGAUCUUCUUUCAUAUGCAUAUUAUGCCAAGCAUGAACGAUCUUCUACUUCAAAUGUUCGGGAUCUUUAUCCUCUUGAUAGAAAAUACCUUCUAACUGAGUGUUAUUAGGCUUGUCUCUCAAGGGGAACCGAAGUUGACGACGAGCCAAAACAGGGUUGUAGUUAAUUCCUCCUUGUGUAUGAAUGAGAGGCACAUUAGAGAAUUCACUACAACUGUCAAUAAUAUCCAAUCUACUCAAUGCGGAGUCAUACCAAACUAUAUUAUCAUUACUGAGAGACAUAAGUCUUUGAGACCAUCGUAGACACUAUUUGUUCUCCACAAAAGCAGACAUCUGAGGCAAGUGCAAAAUAAACCACUUGUGCAGAAGAGGAACACAACACACAAUAGUUCCACCACCUUUGGAAUUCCUUAGAUGCAAAGAGAAGUACAUAUCACCUAACAGAGUAGGCACAAGAUUCCCAAUCAAGAAGAUUCUAAUGGCGUUAACAUCAACAAAAUCGUCAAUGAUAGGGAACAAAGCCAAACCAUAGAUGAGCAACACAAAGAUAGCUUCGAAAGCAUCCACACUACCAUCUUGAGCAAAGGCAGUAGCUUUCCCUAUACGGAACUCAGAAGUCAAACCAAAUAUUCCUCCUUUCUUCAUCCAAUGAGAUUCAAUCUCAGACUUUUUCAGAUGAAGAGCUUCAGCUAUAAUAUAAGAUUUGGGAAUCUCCUCCAAUCCACUAAAAGGCACUUUGUUAGAAACAUGUAUUCCCAACAGAAGAGCAUACUCCUCUAACGUAGGCAUAAGCUGAUAAUCAGGAAAAGUGAAGCAACGAUAGAGAGGAUCAUAAAACUGAAACAAAACACUCAAGAGUCCUUCAACUAAAUCAGCAGAUAAUACAGAUAAAAGCUUCUCAUGACGUUGUUUGAAGUCCAAGGGAUCUAAUACAAAGGAUGAUAGCUUCCUUAGCUCUUUCAAAUUAGGACAUCUGAAACUAUACUUCUUAGUGUUCCUUCGCCCACAAUCCAUAGUCUGAAAAUAUUUGCAAAUAAAACCUCAGUUCCUUGAAGUUAUUUUUCAUGUGAUGAAUGUUAUGAUGCACAUGAAUGCAUGAAUGCAACAAUCACAAAUAAGGGAUCACAUACAAGGCAAACAAAUGUCAAGGGAUGAAUCAAGUCAUUGUCAAGAUCAAUCAUCCAUUUUGGUGGAUUAUAGUAUUCACCUUAUCAAUACCUAAGUUCCAUUGAUAUUGAUAAGACUUGAUUGGAUCAACCAAGAAUCAAGGGUUUGUUGUGAGUCACGAGCAUGAAGUCAGGUUAAAAACCAUCCUUAAAGGAGUGUACUAAGGAUAAAAUCUCGUAGAUCAUGUUCUAAAAAGUUCCCAGAGUCUUAAUUCCAUCUAUCGGAUAUUACAGGUUAGGAUGACUGACUCAUCAACCCAUAAUAUUCUCAAGAGAAACUCGUCUGAGUGUAGUGUCGUGUAACAACUGUUAUCAAGUCUACACUCGAACAGUCUCCGCACUACGUCCAAAAUAGGCCAAGUAGGGUUAAAUGUUCUACGGUCCUUAGCUUCUCAGACCCUGAAUCAGAGAAAGUAAUUCCUAACCACAAAUAACUUGUGUCACAUCAAUAGCUCCAAAAGUGUCUCCACUGAGUAGAUGGGUCUCAAGCCAACUUGUUAAGGACUACUCCACACAAGUCGAACAUGACUCUACCAUCUUCCUAUCUUAAUUGCACUCAAGUUCGGGUUAGAACUUAUCUCACCACUCAGAGAUCACCAAGCACAACAAGCAUAUUAUAUCAUACAAACAAAUAUGCAAACAUCAAAUAUACAAUUAUAUACACAUAAAAAAGUAGGCUAAACCCACUGGAGACUACUCUCCAGCAGAGUCGCCACUUAAUUUCUGUAGCGGUAAAUUCAUGAUCAUUAAGUUAUGGAUAAACUUAACGUCAAUAAAACCAGAGUCGCCACCACGCUUUAAUUGUUUCCAAGGGAAAAGAGAAAAGUACGAACAAAACCCAAAGAUAAGAAGUUUUCAAAUCAAAACUAAUAAAAUGCCAAAGAUUACAGGUAAGGGGGUUGGUUACACAAAGGGAAGGUGUUAGCACCCAAAGUGUCCUAGAUACCCCUAGGGAACCCUUUUUUAUGUGUGCACGUGUUUUGGUAUGAGAAAAGAAUUCAUUAAUUAUAUUUUUGUGUUUGACGAGAUCUUCGGACUUGUGCCUACGUACCAACAUAAAAAUGAGAGAUCAAAACCUCGUAGUUUGUGGUAUCAAUUUCAAAGUGAGUAAAUUGCUUUUAACAAAAUUUUAAGUUUAAAGGAGGAACAAAGGGAUUUAAAAAGUUUGAAUGAGUGUUAGUUCUCUUUGUGUUUUGAAACUUUAAGUCAAUAUGAUUAGAUUUAUUCACAAGUUUGGUUUGAGAAAAGAGUUUAAAAUGCAAUGGCAUAAGACCAAAGUUUCUAAUUUUCAAUAACGUCUAAGUUUAGAAAUCACAAGCAAAGAAGGUUUUUGAAAAGAGAGAGAGAUUUGAAAUUGAAGAAGUGGAAGGAGAUGAAGAGAUUAAUCCUAAGCAAAAAUUUAAAAGUUAAGAGUUGAAAAGAUCUGACCAAUGGGAUGCAAUCCAAUAGACAAGAAUGUCAUAUAGAAACUCACUUUUCACUUGGACUUUGGGAUCAAGAAAUAUCAAUGCACAAAUAGAAAGAUGAAGAGAAAGGCAUCAAAUAAAGAUAGCCACAUCCAAGCUAGAAACUUCAUAAUCUUCUUCAUAAUCUUCCCCAUGUAUUAGAUGACAUACUCCUUGAAUGACUCACAGUAAGGCAUUAAACACAGGUUCAAAGUAAAAUUUGCAUCAAGACCAUGUAGCAGAUGAACUCAGAGGGAUCUCAAUACUUGCAUCAGAUGAAAGUUCUCUUCAUAAUGACUUGGUUUCAGAAAAGUUGGCAUUGGCCAAGUCCUUUUGCAUAGGGAAUGUUGCCUAAUUCUAAGUCCAAAGCUCAGACCAUAAUCCAACAGUCCACAUAAAUAUUUUUUAGGGUUUUUGUUGUUUAUUAUGUACUUUAAGGUCCUAAGACCACAAACACAAACAAAAUACACAAACAAGUAUAUACAAUCACAAUUCAUGGCUCAAGUCAGCAAAGAGAAAAUGACAUUAAAAUAAACAAGUUAAAUGGUAUGUAUAAUGACAAAUGAUAAAUGACUUGAAUUUAAAUUGCAUAAAAUAAAUGACUUGAAAUUAAAAGUUAGUCAAAUGUUAGUUGAUUAGGAGUUAGUGGAAUUUUGCUUUUCAACUUUUUAAGUCAUUCUUUGGAGAACACUCAACCCUCUAUUCACAAGCAUGGAUCCUUGAACCAAGACAUCUUCCAAAGGAAGGAAAAAAGACCAAGUUUCCACACAAUACCAUGAAAGGGGGGAGACUUAAGGAGAACACUCAACCCUCUAUUCACAAGCAUGGAUCCUUGAACCAAGACAUCUUCCAAAGGAAGGAAAAAAGACCAAGUUUCCACACAAUACCAUGAAAGGGGGGAGACUUACAAUCUCACUUACUAAAAUGCUACGUCUUUUUUUGUGUCAAAAUUUAGUGCUAUGUUAAGCAAUCGUAAUUGGACUUAUAUAGAAGUCACAACUAUAUGAGGCCAGGCAAUAAAUUUUUUGGUGUUAAUGCAUGUUAGAGAUAUGGUAUAAUGAACCAUACUCCUAAAACAUACCACACACAAAAAGAAAAUGAUCAAAGGGUGGACCUAAUCUCAUCCAUACUGGUAUUAGUUCAUGAACCAAUUAGCCUUAGGAUAUUGAGAUGUCAUUGGCCAAUGAGAGGUGUGGGAUAGAAAAGGAUUGAAGAUGAAGAGGGAAGGGAAAUGAGACAAAUACAAAUUAGUCAUGGGAGGAAUUUCAUCAAAUUAAAAUCAUUCAUUCAUUUUGGGAGAUGAAAUGUAUAUUUCAUCAAUCCCCUAAAUCCAAUGAUUUUAAUCCAACAAAAGUCAAAUCAACCUUGACCAAGGUCCAAACACAAUAGUCAAACUCCACAAGUCAAUAAAAAUGGCUCAACAUAAUUUAUUCACAAUUGAACAAAUUAAAAAUCAAUUAAAAAUCAAUUAAAUUAAAUUAUGUUUGAUCAAAAACCUAAAACCUCUUCAAAAACCAAAUAAAUGGCCAAGAGAUUUAUCAUAGGUCAAACAAGGUCAAAGGACCAUGGAGAAAAUUUUUCACUAUUUUUGAAAAGUCAGAAGUAUUUUUAAACAAUUAAAAAUAUGUACAAAAACAAUUAAAUCAUGAAAAAUAUUAAUAUUGAUCCAAAAAAUAUUUUUAAUUCAAAAAAUGGAAGAGAAAAAUAUUUGUAAUUUUUUGGUGAAAGUCCCAUAUUUUUUGGAUCAAUAUUAAAAUUAAUAUGAAUUAAUGAAAAUAAGGCAAAUAAAAUGAAAAUUCAGAAAUUACAAAAUACGUGGACCAUUUGAUCUCUCUCAUUAAUUGAGGUGGCGGAUCAAAUGGUUCAAAGCGCGCGUUCCAUGUGGUCAUCAAUCAACUACGCAACACGCGUGGCAAUCACAACCAACGCUCAAGAUUAAAAUAAAAU